CUAGAGAGCGGUGCCAGUGCUGCAAAAAGUAUAGACAUUCAAAUAUGGAGUUAAAGGACCAUCGACUCGUUCAAUAACCAUCUUAUUACGCGUCGUCCAAAAGUUCCACAUCAACGCCACGAACACUAACCAGAAGAGGCAUCUCCUCCUAUCUAUCUGAUUUGUCCAAGUCUCCAAGAAAUGACUGAUCCCACUAACAGAACAUAGCUUAGCUAGGAGUCCACCUCUUUGGAGUAACAACGACAUUGGUGAUACUGGCUGCACAACCGUCUCAUAUACUCCCUCGGUCCCUUCAGAUGAGAACAUUGUUGGAAAUAUGCCCUAGAGGCAAUAAUAAAAUGGUUAUUAUUAUAUUUCCUUGUUCAUGAUAAUUGUCUAUUGUUUAUGCUAUAAUUGUGUUAUCCGGAAAUCGUAAUACAUGUGUGAAUGCAUAGACUAUAACAUGUCCCUAGUGAGCCUCUAGUUGACUAGCUCGUUGAUCAAUAGAUGGUUACGGUUUCCUCACCAUGGACAUUGGAUGUCACUAAUAACGGGAUCACAUCAUUAGGAGAAUGAUGUGAUGGACAAGACCCAAUCCUAAGCAUAGCACUAGAUCGUGUAGUUCGUUUGCUAAAGCUAUUCUAAUGUCAAGUAUCAUUUCCUUAGACCAUGAGAUCGUGCAACUCCCGGAUACCGUAGGAAUGCUUUGGGUGUACCAAACGUCACAACGUAACUGGGUGGCUAUAAAGGUGCACUACAGGUAUCUCCAAAAGUGUCUGUUGGGUUGGCACAGAUCGAGACUGGGAUCUGUCACUCCGUAUGACGGAGAGGUAUGUCUGGGCCCACUCGGUAUUGCAUCAUCAUAAUGAGCUCAAUGUGACUAAGUAGUUAGUCACGGGAUCAUGCAUUACGGAACGAGUAAAGUGACUUGCCGGUAACGAGAUUGAACGAGGUAUUGGGAUACCGACGAUCGAAUCUCGGGCAAGUAACGUACCGAUUGACAAAGGGAAUUGUAUACGGGAUUACUUGAAUCCUCGACAUCGUGGUUCAUCCGAUGAGAUCAUCGAGGAGCAUGUGGGAGCCAACAUGGGUAUCCAGAUCCCGCUGUUGGUUAUUGACCGGAGAGUCGUCUCGGUCAUGUCUGCGUGUCUCCCGAACCCGUAGGGUCUACACACUUAAGGUUCGGUGACGCUAGGGUUGUAGAGAUAUUAGUAUGCGGUAACCCAAAAGUUGUUCGGAGUCCCGGAUGAGAUCCCGGACAUCACGAGGAGUUCCGGAAUGGUCCAGAGGUAAAGAUUUGUAUAUAGGAAGUCCAGUUUCGGCCACCGGAAAAGUUUCGGGGGUCACCGGUAUUGUACCGGGACCACCGGAAGGGUCCCGGGGGUCCACCGAGUGGGGCCACCUAUCCCGGAGGGCCCCAUGGGCUGAAGUGGGAAGGGAACCAGCCCCUGGUGGGCUGGUGCGCCCCCCAUGGGCCUCCCCCUACGCCUAGGGUUGGAAAGCCUGAGGGUGGGGGCGCCCCACCUGACUUGGGGGGCAAGUUCCUCCCUUGGCCGCCCCCCCCUUGAGAUUGGAUCUCUAGGGGUCGGCGCCCCCCCCAGGGCCCCUAUAUAAAGAGGGGGUAGGGAGGGCUGCACACCCAAGCCCCUGGCGCCUCCCUCUCCCCCCAUAACACCUCUCCCUGCCGAGAUCCCCGCUGCUUCCACCACCACGCCGUCGUGCUGUUGGAUCUCCAUCAACCUCUCCUUCCCCCUUGCUGGAUCAAGAAGGAGGAGACGUCUCUCCCAACCGUACGUGUGUUGAACGCGGAGGCGCCGUCCGUUCGGCGCUAGGAUCAUCGGUGAUUUGGAUCACGACGAGUACGACUCCAUCAACCCCGUUCUCUUGAACGCUUCCGCUUGCGAUCUACAAGGGUAUGUAGAUGCACUCCUCCCCUCUCGUUGCUAGUAAACUCCAUAGAUUGAUCUUGGUGAUGCGUAGUAAAUUUUAAUUUCUGCUACGAUCCCCAAUAGUGGCAUCAUGAGCUAGGUCUAUGCGUAGUUUCUAUGCACGAGUAGAACACAAGUUGUUGUGGGCGUUGAUUUUGUCAAUUUACUUGCCGUUACUAGUCUUAUCUUGAUUCGGCGGCAUCGUGGGAUGAAGCGGCCCGGACCGACCUUACACGUACGCUUACGUGAGACAGGUUCCACCGACUGACAUGCACUAGUUGCAUAAGGUGGCUAGCGGGUGUCUGUCUCUCCCACUUUACUCGGAUCGGAUUCGAUGAAAAGGGUCCUUAUGAAGGGUAAAUAGAAAUUGGCAUAUCACGUUGUGGUUUUGGCGUAGGUAAGAAUCGUUCUUGCUAGAAACCUAUAGCAGCCACGUAAAAGUUUGCAACAACAAUUAGAGGACGUCUAACUUGUUUUUGCAACAAGUGUCAUGUGAUGUGAUAUGGCCAGAAGGAUGUGAUGAAUGAUAUAUGUGAUGUAUGAGAUUGAUCAUGUUCUUGUAAUAGGAAUCACGACUUGCAUGUCGAUGAGUAUGACAACCGGCAGGAGCCUAGGAGUUGUCUUAAUUUAUUUAUGACCUGCGUGUCAACUGAAACGUCAUGUAAUUACUUUACUUUAUUGCUAACCGUUAGCCAUAGUAGUAGAAGUAAUAAUUGGCGAGACAACUUCAUGAAGACACGAUGAUGGAGAUCAUGAUGAUGGAGAUCAUGGUGUCAUGCCGGUGACGAUGAUGAACAUGGUGCCCCGAAGAUGGAGAUCAAAAGGAGCAAAAUGAUAUUGGCCAUAUCAUGUCACUAUUUGAUUGCAUGUGAUGUUUAUCAUGUUUUACAUCUUAUUUGCUUAGAACGACGGUAGCAUAAAUAAGAUGAUCCCUCGCUAAAAUUUCAAGAAAGUGUUCCCCCUAACUGUGCACCGUUGCGAAGGUUUGUUGUUCCGAAGCACCACGCGAUGAUCGGGUGUGAUAGGUUCUAACGUUCGCAUACAACGGGUGUAAGCCAGAUUUACACACGCAAUACACUUAGGUUGACUUGACGAGCCUAGCAUGUACAGACAUGGCCUCGGUACACAAGAGACCGAAAGGUCGAACAUGAGUCGUAUAGCAGAUACGAUCAACAUGAAGAUGUUCAUCGAUGAUGACUAGUCCGUCUCUCGUGAUGAUUGGACACGGCCUAGUUGAUUCGGAUCAUGUAUCACUUAGAUGACUAGAGGGAUGUCUGUCUGAGUGGGAGUUCGUUAAUAAUUUGAUUAGAUGAACUUAAUUAUCAUGAACUUAGGCUAAAAAUCUUUACAAUAUGUCUUGUAGAUCAAAUGGCCCACGCUAAUGUUGCCCUCAACUUCAACGCGUUCCUAGAGAAAACCAAGCUGAAAGACGAUGGUAGCAACUACACGGACUGGGUCCGUAACCUGAGGAUUAUCCUCAUAGCUGCCAAGAAAGCAUAUGUCCUUGAAGCACCGCUAGGUGAUGCACCUGUUUUCCCAGCAACUCAAGACGUUCUGAACACCUGGCAGUCGCGUAGUGAUGAUUACUCCCUGGUUCAGUGCGGCAUGCUUUACAGCUUAGAACCGGGACUCCAAAAGCGUUUUGAGCAGCACGGAGCAUAUGAGAUGUUCCAAGAGCUGAAAAUGGUUUUCCAAGCUCAUGCCCGGGUCGAGAGAUAUGAAGUCUCCGACAAGUUGUACAGUUGUAAGAUGGAGGAGAAUAGUUCCGUCAGCGAACACAUACUCAAAAUGUCUGGGUUGCACCACCGCUUGUCUUAGCUGGGAGUUAAUCUCCCGGAUGACGCGGUCGUUGACAGAAUCUUUCAGUCGCUCCCACCUAGCUACAAGAGCUUUGUGAUGAACUUCAAUAUGCAGGGGAUGGAAAAGACCAUUCCUGAGGUAUAUUCAAUGCUGAAAUCAGCGGAGGUGGAGAUCAAAAAGGAACAUCAAGUGUUGAUGAUGAAUAAAACCACUAAGUUCAAGAAAGGCAAGGGUAAGAAGAACUUCAAGAAAGACGGCAAGGGAGUUGCCGCGCCCGGUAAGCAAGCUGCCGGGAAGAAGACAUAGAAUGGACCUAAGCCUGAGACUGAGUGCUUUUAUUACAAGGGAAACGGUCACUGGAAGCGGAACUGCCCCAAGUACUUAGUGGAUAAGAAGGCCGGCAAUACCAAAGGUAUAUGUGAUAUACAUGUUAUUGAUGUGUACCUAACCAGUGCUCGUAGUAGCCCCUGGGUAUUUGAUACCGGUGCGGUUGCUCAUAUUUGUAACUCAAAGCAGGAGUUGCGGAAUAAGCGGAGACUGGCGAAGGACGAGGUGACGAUGCGCGUCGGGAAUGGUUCCAAGGUCGAUGUGAUCGCCGUCGGCACGCUACCUCCACAUUUACCUACGGGACUAGUUUUAAACCUCAAUAAUUGUUAUUUAGUGCCAGCUUUGAGCAUGAACAUUGUAUCUGGAUCUCGUUUAAUGCGAGAUGGCUACUCAUUUAAAUCCGAGAAUAAUGGUUGUUCUAUUUAUAUGAGAGAUAUGUUUUAUGGUCAUGCCCCGCUGGUCAAUGGUUUAUUCUUAAUGAAUCUCGAACGUGAUGUUACACAUAUUCAUAGUGUGAAUGCCAAGAAAUGUAAGGUUGAUAAUGAUAAUCCCACAUACUUGUGGCACUGCCGCCUUGGUCACAUUGGUGUCAAACGCAUGAAGAAACUCCAUGCAGAUGGACUUUUGGAGUCUCUUGAUUAUGAAUCAUUUGACACGUGCGAACCAUGCCUCAUGGGCAAAAUGACCAAGACUCCGUUCUCCGGAACAGUGAAGCGAGCAACCAACUUAUUGGAAAUCAUACAUACUGAUGUGUGCGGUCCAAUGAGCGUUGAGGCUCGCGGUGGCUAUCGUUAUGUUCUCACCCUCAUUGAUGACUUGAGUAGAUAUGUGUAUGUCUACUUAAUGAAACACAAGUCUGAGACCUUUGAAAAGUUCAAGGAAUUUCAGAGUGAGGUUGAGAAUCAACGUGACAGGAAAAUAAAGUUCUUACGAUCAGAUCGUGGAGGGGAAUAUUUGAGUCAUGAAUUUGGCACACACUUAAGGAAAUGUGGAAUUGUUUCACAACUCACGCCGCCUGGAACACCUCAGCGUAAUGGUGUGUCCGAACGUCGUAAUCGCACUCUAUUGGAUAUGGUGCGAUCUAUGAUGUCUCUUACCGAUCUACCGCUAUCAUUCUGGGGUUAUGCUUUAGAGACUGCCACAUUCACUUUAAAUAGGGCUCCGUCGAAAUCCGUUGAGACGACACCGUAUGAAUUAUGGUUUGGAAAGAAACCUAAGAUGUCGUUUCUUAAAGUUUGGGGAUGCGAUGCUAAUGUCAAGAAACUUCAACCUGAAAAGCUCGAACCCAAGUCAGAAAAAUGCGUCUUCAUAGGAUACCCUAAGGAAACCAUUGGGUAUACCUUCUACCUCAGAUCCGAAGGCAAGAUCUUCGUUGCCAAGAAUGGGUCCUUUCUGGAGAAAGAGUUUCUCUCAAAAGAAGUAAGUGGGAGGAAAAAAGAACUUGAUGAGAUGACCCCUCUCGAACCAGAAAGUAGCGCAGCACAAGAAAAUGUUUUUGUGGUGCCCGCACCGACUAGAGAGGAAGUUAAUUAUGACGAUCAUGAUCAAGUUACCACUGAACUUCGUAGGUCCACAAGGACACGUUCCGCACCAGAGUGGUACGGCAACCCUGUCCUGGAAAUCAUGUUGUUGGACAACGGUGAACCUUCGAACUAUGAAGAAGCAAUGGCGGGUCCAGAUUCCAACAAAUGGCUUGAAGCCAUGCAAUCCGAGAUAGGAUCCAUGUAUGAAAACAAAGUAUGGACUUUGACAGACUUGCCCGAUGAUCGGCGAGCGAUAGAAAAUAAAUGGAUCUUUAAGAAGAAGACGGACACGGAUGAAAAUGUUACCAUCUAUAAAGCUCGACUUGUCGCUAAGGGUUAUCGACAAGUUCAAGGAGUUGACUACGAUGAGACCUUCUCACCCGUAGCGAAGCUGAAGUCCGUCCGAAUCAUGUUAGCAAUUUCCGCAUUCUACGAUUAUGAAAUAUGGCAAAUGGACAUCAAAACGGCAUUCCUUAACGGCGUCCUUAAGGAAGAAUUGUAUAUGAUGCAGCCGGAAGGUUUUGUCGAUCCUAAGAAUGCUGACAAAGUAUGCAAGCUCCAGCGCUCAAUCUAUGGGCUGGUGCAGGCAUCUCGGAGUUGGAACAUUCGCUUUGAUGAGAUGAUCAAAGCGUUUGGGUUUACACAGACGUAUGGAGAAGUCUGUGUUUACAAGAAAGUGAGUGGGAGCUCUGUAGCAUUUCUCAUAUUAUAUGUGGAUAACAUACUAUUGAUGGGAAAUGAUAUAGAAUUCUUGGAACGUAUAAAGGCCUACUUGAAUAAGUGUUUUAUGAUGAAGGACCUUGGAGAAGCUGCUUACAUAUUAGGCAUCAAGAUCUAUAGAGAUAGAUCGAGACGCCUCAUAGGUCUUUCACAAAGCACAUACCUUGACAAGAUAUUGAAGAAGUUCAAUAUGGAUCAGUCCAAGAAGGGGUUCUUGCCUGUAUUGCAAGGUGUGAGAUUGAGCACGACUCAAUGCCCGACCACGGCAGAAGAUAGAGAAAAGAUGAGUGCCGUCCCCUAUGCCUCGCACUACUGGAAUCAGCUAAUUUGCCAUCUGCCAGCUCUUUGCCGUCUGCUAGCUGACGGCAAAGAAGCUCUUUGCCAUCAUCUACCCAAAAGCAGACGGCAAAGAAAGGGUAGACGGCAAAGAAGCUCUUUGCCAUCUGCCAGCUCUUUGCCGUCCGCCAGCAGACGGCAAAGAAUCUUUGCCGUCCGCUGGCGGACGGCAAAGAGUGAGGUGGCCCCCACCCCCCGCCCGUUUGGGAAAAACUUAACGGGCCACCUCUUUGCCGUCCGCUAGCAGACGGCAAAGAGGCAAAAAAGCGGACGNNNNNNNNNNNNNNNNNNNNNNNNNNNNNNNNNNNNNNNNNNNNNNNNNNNNNNNNNNNNNNNNNNNNNNNNNNNNNNNNNNNNNNNNNNNNNNNNNNNNNNNNNNNNNNNNNNNNNNNNNNNNNNNNNNNNNNNNNNNNNNNNNNNNNNNNNNNNNNNNNNNNNNNNNNNNNNNNNNNNNNNNNNNNNNNNNNNNNNNNNNNNNNNNNNNNNNNNNNNNNNNNNNNNNNNNNNNNNNNNNNNNNNNNNNNNNNNNNNNNNNNNNNNNNNNNNNNNNNNNNNNNNNNNNNNNNNNNNNNNNNNNNNNNNNNNNNNNNNNNNNNNNNNNNNNNNNNNNNNNNNNNNNNNNNNNNNNNNNNNNNNNNNNNNNNNNNNNNNNNNNNNNNNNNNNNNNNNNNNNNNNNNNNNNNNNNNNNNNNNNNNNNNNNNNNNNNNNNNNNNNNNNNNNNNNNNNNNNNNNNNNNNNNNNNNNNNNNNNNNNNNNNNNNNNNNNNNNNNNNNNNNNNNNNNNNNNNNNNNNNNNNNNNNNNNNNNNNNNNNNNNNNNNNNNNNNNNNNNNNNNNNNNNNNNNNNNNNNNNNNNNNNNNNNNNNNNNNNNNNNNNNNNNNNNNNNNNNNNNNNNNNNNNNNNNNNNNNNNNNNNNNNNNNNNNNNNNNNNNNNNNNNNNNNNNNNNNNNNNNNNNNNNNNNNNNNNNNNNNGACCUCGUUCUCCGGACACCGUUCGGGUAGGAGCAAAGGCCCCGUUCGAAAAUGAGUUUAUUUUCAUUAUAUCUAUUUUCCUAAUAUUAUUUAAUAUUUUAAUGCUUCAUUUUUAUUUAUUUUGUUUCAUUUUUAUAAUUUUUUCAAUUGAACAUUACUUCUGUUUUAAUUUUUUUAAGAGAACAAUUUCAUUGUUUUUGAUACUAUUAUUUAUUGUCCACCUUUGUUUCUUUUUUAUUUCCUUUCCUAAUUUUUAGAAUUUUUUUUGCAAACAUAAUAGUAUUAAUUCGAAAAUUCAAUUUGCAAACAAUAAUUUAAAACCACGCAAACACACUCGAUAUUUCAUCAUAGUUUUCAUAAAUAUUUUACAUAAUACUAGAAAUUAAACUUGACUAAACUAAACAACAUUAGGAAAAUAAUUAAACAUUACUAAACGUUAUUUCGAAAAUAACCUAAACUAAACUACUCGUCCUCGACGCCGCCAAAGUCCAUCUCGUCGUAGAGCCCGUCGCUGUCGUCGCCGUUGUCACUGCUGCUAUCGUCCAGGUCCACCACCGGCGCAGCCAUCGAGUCGGCCACAGCGGCGUGGUAGCCGGGGAAGUCCGGCGGGUCCUCUGGGUGGACGGCGACCGGGGCGAGCUGCAUGUACUCCUGCACGAGGGGUGGCGGCAUCGGCGCGUUCUCCGACUCCCGGAUCGCCGUCAGGUAGCCCGGCAUGUCCUCCGGGUCGCCGGCCUCCGCCGCCAGCCGCCUGUACUCGGCCAGCAACGCCGGCUCAGGUUCCGGCGCCGGCUCUGGCGGAGGGGCGCAGCUGGACGACCCGGCGCCGUCCCGCGCGCGUGUGCGACGGUCNNNNNNNNNNNNNNNNNNNNNNNNNNNNNNNNNNNNNNNNNNNNNNNNNNNNNNNNNNNNNNNNNNNNNNNNNNNNNNNNNNNNNNNNNNNNNNNNNNNNNNNNNNNNNNNNNNNNNNNNNNNNNNNNNNNNNNNNNNNNNNNNNNNNNNNNNNNNNNNNNNNNNNNNNNNNNNNNGACGCCGGCGGAGCGGGCAUGGCGCCGCCGGCCGCCUGCACGCGGUACGGCGCGACGACCUCCUCGAAGGUGCACCCGUCCCAGAGCUGAUGCCGCCGCGCGCGGUUGUGUUUCGUCGGCGGGCGCGGGACGGCGUACGCGUGGAGGCGGCGCAGGUGGUCGUCGGCGAGGCGGUCCGCCCAGCCGGGGUUGUUGGGGGCGUACUGGGGGUCGGCGAGUUCCUUCGGCGAGAGGCGCGCCCUGUACAGGCCGACGGCGCGGGCGAAGAGGUGGGUGCCGACCUCGGGCACCGGUGCCACCGGCACGCCGUCGACGCUCAGGCGCCACCUCGCCGGGAGGCGCACGUCGGGAGCGGCGGGGAUGACGAAGUGGGCGAGCUCCUCCGCCUCCUCGAGGGUCAAGGUGGAGCGGGCCAUCGCCGGCGAGAGGGAGAGGUAGGGCGCAAGAGGGGCGAUGCCGGCGGCAGGGGGAGAAGGAGAGGGAAGGCGAGGGGCGGUGUGAGAGCCACGGCGGGGCGAGGCGCUUUUUAUAGGCGUGGUGGGCGGGGUGGGUGCCGGUGAUCAAUGCCGGGCCAGCCGGCGCAGAAGGCCAGGCGGCGGCGUGCGAAUCGGCGCCGGCGAUUAAUGCCGGGCCAGCCGAGCGGUCAAGGGCGCAGAAGGCCAGGCGGCGGCGUGCGAAUCGGCGCCGGCGAUUAAUGCCGAGCUGUCAAGGGCGCAGGAGGCCAGGCGUCGGCGUGCGCGGGCGGUCAAGCGGUGGCGUGCGCAGGCGGGCGUCGGGCGGUGGCGUGUUAAUCGGCGCCGCUCGCGGACCGCCGCCGCCGACGGUACGUCUCACUGCGCCGGCGCCGAUGGCAAAAAGCCAUCAGCGGCAGACGGCAAAGAACCUGCCAUCUAGUGACGUGUAGAUGACAUCAUACGGCGGACGGCAAAGACCAUAGAAAUUUUGCCGUCAGCGGCGGACGGCAAAGGCCUGCCGUUAGCCACUUAACGGACUGACAGCGCAAUUAUUGCCGUCCGCUCUCUUUGCCGUCCGCCGCUGUAGGCAAAGGACUCUUUGCCGUCCGCCAUAAAAAGCAGACGGCAAAGGACCUGUUUACCGUAGCCUACUUUGCCGGAGCCUUUUGCCGUCCGCGGCUGACGGCAAAGGCCUUUGCCGUCCGCCGUUCGAGCCUUUGCCGUCCGCCGUGGCAGACGGCAAAAUAGCUGUUUCCUGUAGUGUCGGCCAUAGGGUCUAUUAUGUAUGCCAUGCUGUGUACCAUACCUGAUGUAAACCUUGCCGUAAGUUUGGUAGGAAGGUACCAAAGUAAUCCCGGCAUGGAACACUGGACAGCGGUCAAGAACAUCCUGAAGUACCUGAAAAGGACUAAGGAUAUGUUUCUCGUUUAUGGAGGUGACGAAGAGCUCGUCGUAAAGGGUUACGUCGAUGCUAGCUUUGACACAGAUCUCGAUGACUCUAAGUCACAAACCGGAUACGUGUAUAUUUUGAAUGGUGGGGCAGUCAGCUGGUGCAGUUGCAAGCAAAGCGUCGUGGCGGGAUCUACAUGUGAAGCGGAGUACAUGGCAGCCACGAAGGCAGCACAUGAAGCAAUCUGGAUGAAGGAGUUCAUUGCCGACCUAGGAGUUGUUCCCAAUGCAUCGGGGCCGAUGACUCUCUUCUGUGACAACACUGGAGCUAUUGCCCUUGCCAAGGAGCCCAGGUUUCACAAGAAGACCAAGCACAUCAAGCGUCGCUUCAACUCCAUUCGUGAAAAUGUUCAAAAUGGAGACAUGAAUAUUUGUAAAGUACAUACAGAUUUGAAUGUCGCAGAUCCGUUGACUAAACCUUUUCCACGGGCAAAACAUGAUCAACACCAGAACUCUAUGGGUGUACGAUUCAUCACAAUGUAACUAGAUUAUUGACUCUAGUGCAAGUGGGAGACUGUUGGAAAUAUGCCCUAGAGGCAAUAAUAAAAUGGUUAUUAUUAUAUUUCCUUGUUCAUGAUAAUUGUCUAUUGUUCAUGCUAUAAUUGUGUUAUCCGGAAAUCGUAAUACAUGUGUGAAUGCAUAGACUAUAACAUGUCCCUAGUGAGCCUCUAGUUGACUAGCUCGUUGAUCAAUAGAUGGUUACGGUUUCCUCACCAUGGACAUUGGAUGUCACUGAUAACGGGAUCAUAUCAUUAGGAGAAUGAUGUGAUGGACAAGACCCAAUCCUAAGCAUAGCGCUAGAUCGUGUAGUUCGUUUGCUAAAGCUAUUCUAAUGUCAAGUAUCAUUUCCUUAGACCAUGAGAUCGUGCAACUCCCGGAUACCGUAGGAAUGCUUUGGGUGUACCAAACGUCACAACGUAACUGGGUGGCUAUAAAGGUGCACUACAGGUAUCUCCGAAAGUGUCUGUUGGGUUGGCACAGAUCGAGACUGGGAUUUGUCACUCCGUAUGACGGGGAGGUAUCUCUGGGCCCACUCGGUAUUGCAUCAUCAUAAUGAGCUCAAUGUGACUAAGUAGUUAGUCACGGGAUCAUGCAUUACGGAACGAGUAAAGUGACUUGCCGAUAACGAGAUUGAACGAGGUAUUGGGAUACCGACGAUCGAAUCUCGGGCAAGUAACGUACCGAUUGACAAAGGGAAUUGUAUACGGGAUUACUUGAAUCCUCGACAUCGUGGUACGAUGAGAUCAUCGAGGAGCAUGUGGGAGCCAACAUGGGUAUCCAGAUCCCGCUGUUGGUUAUUGACCGGAGAGUCGUCUCGGUCAUGUCUGCAUGUCUCCCGAACCCGUAGGGUCUACACACUUAAGGUUCGGUGACGCUAGGGUUGUAGAGAUAUUAGUAUGCGGUAACCCGAAAGUUGUUCGGAGUCCCGGAUGAGAUCCCGGACAUCCCGAGGAGUUCCGGAAUGGUCCGGAGGUGAAGCUUUGUAUAUAGGAAGUCCAGUUUCGGCCACUGGGAAAGUUUCGGGGGUCACCGGUAUUGUACCGGGACCACCGGAAGGGUCCCGGAGGUCCACCGGGUGGGGCCACCUAUCCCGGAGGGCCCCAUGGGCUGAAGUGGGAAGGGAACCAGUCCCUAGUGGGCUGGUGCGCCCCCCAUGGGCCUCCCCCUGCGCCUAGGGUUGGAAACCCUGGGGGUGGGGGGCGCCCCACCUGACUUGGGGGGCAAGUUCCCCCUUGGCCGCCCCCCCUUGAGAUUGGAUCUCUAGGGGCCGGCGCCCCCCCAGGGCCCCUAUAUAAAGAGGGGGGAAGGGAGGGCUGUGCACCCAAGCCCCUGGCGCCUCCCUCUGCCCCCGUAACACCUCUCCCUCUCGCUGAGCUUGGCGAAGCCCUGCCGAGAUCCCCACUGCUUCCACCACCACGCCGUCGUGCUGCUGGAUCUCCAUCAACCUCUCCUUCCCCCCUUGCUGGAUCAAGAAGGAGGAGACGUCUCUCCCAACCGUACGUGUGUUGAACGCGGAGGUGCCAUCCGUUCGGCGCUAGGAUCAUCGGUGAUUUGGAUCACGACGAGUACGACUCCAUCAACUCCGUUCUCUUGAACACUUCCGCUUGCGAUCUACAAGGGUAUGUAGAUGCACUCCUCCCCUCUCGUUGCUAGUAAACUCCAUAGAUUGAUCUUAGUGAUGCGUAGUAAAUUUUAAUUUCUGCUACGAUCCCCAACAAACAUAAGUCUGGCAGGACAACAUAGGUCGUCAAUUUAACAAGCGAAACAUAUACAAAAUCUCAUAAAAUAUUUGUUUAGAAACUUAAUUUGACAACGAUUUUUUUUCUCCAAACAAGGCUUACCCCCUUUCCAUUAUCAUGAUAACAGAAAUACAUCAGUUCCGUAGAACAUAGGGCGCGGGAAAGAAGGGAAGCGAGUUCAACCACUACUAGGAAGAAACCCACAUUUUUUAAAAUAUACCUUGUUUGGCAAAAAAACAUAUUUGUCGCUAAUUAAAUCAAACACCUAAAAAUGCAGGGAGUAAUAGGACCAGCUUGGGAGGAUCAGUUGGGAGAUGAAUGAAUGGCCGGCCGGCCGGCCGCACGUUGAUAGAUGAUGAUGCAGGGUAUGUUUGGAUUGUGCCCCAUCUAGCCCUACCAAAUUAUUGGCAUGGCCAACUUGAAGGCAAGACCAAAAAAUUGGCAGGUUAUGGCUGUUUGGUUUGUAGCCCAUAGCACUUGCCAACUUUUUGGCAAAACCAUUGGCCAGCGUUUGGUUUGAAGCCAAAUAUUUGGCAACCUUGAUUGGACUGUGUUUGGUUUGGUUCCAAAAUGCAUGCCAGCCAAAAAGUGAUCAACAUCAGACACUACCUCACAUAUAUCACAUGACAUUAAUACAAAUUUUCAAUUUAGAAACACACAGUGAGACAAACUGUAAGCAUGCAUUUCAUAAAUUGACAAUGACAUGGUUCAACUAAUACAUUAGAUAACUCAUAUUGUUCGAUACAUCAGAUUAAUCAUCAAGGAGGCUAAAUAAAAUUCACAUAGUAACCAAGUCUUUACCAGACCAAGUAAGUCAUACUAGUCAGACUAGCACCAAGUCUGCUCCAUAUAAACAAAAUAUGAUGCACCCAGCCUUCUCUAUAUAGACAAAAUAUGCAUGAUGUAUGUUACCCAUGCUCCUAGCGGUAAACAAAAGGAAGCCGCAAUCUCUAUCUAGUCAUGUGGCCAUUCAGUGAGCAGUUGCAGAUCCACCAUUGCCACCAUCUUCUUGAAACCGAGGCUCGAAGAAGCUAAGGACCCACUGUCCAAGAAUUGUUUCAUCAGCAUAGUUGAGGUAACUACGAAAGAUAUCUUGAUCUGGCUUGGAUAGAUAUGCUACAAUCUCAAGUUUAUCCUUAGCUGGUAUGGUAAGGGCAUUUAUCCGCUUCCAAAGGUUUGCAUAUGGAUCUGUAGGUGGCAUUGGUUGCACAGAAACAAUAGGAGAUGCAAGAGAGUCAGCUAGCUUCUUGAUACUGGCUGCCAUAUCAUCAUUAGAUAUCUUGCCCUUCUUGUUUGCUUUCCCCUUAGUUGGCUUCUUGGAAGGUGAAGAUGACACGUGCUUGCACUUCUUGUUUAAAGAAUUGCCUUCCAAGUCAACUUUAGGACUAUGACGAUUAAUAGUGUCAGAGUCAGCUUCAUCACUGUCAACUGGAAUUAGAUUGGCCUCAAGUUCCCUCACUUCCUCGCUGUCAUCACUAUCAUCAUCCACAUUGACAGUGGUUUGGUCAGUUGCAAGCGAGCCAUCAACAAAUGCACUAGAAGCAUAGUCCCGACCAGCAUACAAACACCCAUCUUCAGCAACACUUGAAGCUUACAUACUAAAAUAAGUCAGACAAUCUUACAAUGAUAAAAUAAGUUGCAUAAAUUCAUCAAAAUCAAAACACUACAUCCUUCAAUUGUUCCCUCACGUUGGACNNNNNNNNNNNNNNNNNNNNNNNNNNNNNNNNNNNNNNNNNNNNNNNNNNNNNNNNNNNNNNNNNNNNNNNNNNNNNNNNNNNNNNNNNNNNNNNNNNNNNNNNNNNNNNNNNNNNNNNNNNNNNNNNNNNNNNNNNNNNNNNNNNNNNNNNNNNNNNNNNNNNNNNNNNNNNNNNNNNNNNNNNNNNNNNNNNNNNNNNNNNNNNNNNNNNNNNNNNNNNNNNNNNNNNNNNNNNNNNNNNNNNNNNNNNNNNNNNNNNNNNNNNNNNNNNNNNNNNNNNNNNNNNNNNNNNNNNNNNNNNNNNNUGAGAGGGCAUCUUUUAGCACAAGAGAAUCAUGGGCAGAGCCCUCCCAACCAGCUAGAACAUAUGUGAACCGAAGGUCGAAGUCAACAACUGCUAGCACAUUUUGGGAGGGAUAUGACUUGCGGCCCCUAAAUUUGUCCAUCAUGUGAGCAGGAACACAAGCCUUAACAUGAGUGCCAUCUAGUGCCCCUAUGCAUCCCUACGAAUAUGAAAAAGGGAAGUUCAUGUCAAGCUUGGGCUAGGCCGAUCUUGUAUAAUCAGUAAAAAAAUCUAUGGUCUAAGGAUUACCUCAAAGUACGGGUAGAAUCUGUUCGGGCUGCUAGUGAUUUUUGUGUGUGUGUCCGUCGAUCUAAUAUAAAUUAGAUCACGUGCUAACUCCCCCAUCGCACGUAGGACAAUAUUGAAAUAUCUGCUCACUGUUUCACUAGAUCGCCAGAACCAAAAUCCAACAGAUGAAUUUGUGUGAUGCUGACCGACCAUGUAUAGGAACAUUGCAACUUGUUCCUCUACCGAAACAUGAAAUGUGUCACUUAACAACUCCUUCUGCCUAAGCCUGUUACAUAGCUUGUAAAAUACAGCUCAAGUCAUCCUUAAUUGCUUGAUGCAUGUUGCAUCCGAUGUGUCAAAGAGCCUAAUUAGUACAUUAGUUCUGUAGAUGUCUCUCUGAACUAAUGGACCAUACUUCCUGCCUUUACCUCUAAAUUUUCUACCAUCUCUGCUUCUAUACCAGAGGGCCAAGAGUAGAACAAUAACACAGAGAGUUCUCCGCUUCAACAUGUUGUAAUAAUAAUAUCUUUGUUGAUCCAUGUCCAUCUGGGUCAAUAUGAAAUGUACAAAAAUAUGAAUGAGCUAACUUGGUACAUUAUUACAAAUGAUUACUUGCUAAAAGAUACAUGUUAGAAAGCAAACCUGCUUCUAACCAGUACCAAGGAUGCACAAUUUGUAAAAAAAAAACACCUUGAUGGACAAAAAAUCGAAGCAUGUCUCAGUAGUUAACUAUGUAUAUCCAACUUCAAAAAAUCCACCUUAAUGUUCUAAAAAUAGAGACCAUACAUAUGGCACAAAAAGGGAAGAACAGACCAUACUACUUUCAGAACCAUACCAGGUUAAUUAACUAAUUAACAUCAUUAUUCUCAUGUGAUUUGACUUGCGUCAAAUAAAGAACAUGGAUCACCCACAAAAAAAACAAAGAAUAUGGAUGAGAGUCUCAUAUGUUUUUACUUGCAGCAAACCAACAACAUGCACGGGAGUCCCAUUCCAAUUUUACUUCCAGCAAACAGGGAAGAGGAUUCAGCAAGCAAUUCUCAGAUCUAGCAAGUAGUACCUCCGUACAAUACAUACAUCCAUAAGGGGAUGAUGGGGAUUUGAGCUCACAAAUCAGACCAUAGAAAAGGGGAUCGGAGUAGUGUUGGAUGGGGAUUUCAGUGGCUGACCUUGGAGCGUAGCUUGACUGGGAGAGGAGGGCGAGAGGUGGAGCAGCGUCGCCGGUCGCCGGCCGCCGGAGAAGCUGGCACCAACGCAGAACGCGGCCGCCCGGUGAUUGGAUCGAGAGCGCUUCUGUGCGUGGAGAUAAGAAGAGAGAUGGGGAAAGUGGCGAACAGGUGGGGAAAAAUCAAUCGUGCCUUUUAUAUCACGGUGGCUGGCUCGCGCCAGAUUUGGCAGCCAAUAUUUUGGCGGCUGAUUUCCGCGCCGCUGUUUCGCCCGCGAGUUGGCGAAAACGGUACGCGGGCGCGCCCAAGUCGACGAUGGCGAGCCAAAAAUGGUACCAGACCAAACGCUAGCCAAAUAUCGUGGGCGUGACCAAUUUUUUGGUAAGGCUAGUGUUGGUCACCAUCCAAACAGCCCCGCAGUGUCCUCUACUCCUGUGUGGCGAUGUUGGGAGACUUCACUCCAUUGGUUCGGGUGCGUGCACGUCUUUUUCCAAUGGUGGGCGUGGGCGUGGACGUUUUGCUACAACUACUGGUUCAUGGCAUGGCAGUUGGUUCCGCCCUCCUUCAUUAUCAUUGUCCUAUGCCGACCUCUUAAGUCGGCUCCAAUCUACCGGGAGACCAACAGAGCGAAUGGCAUAAACACGGUCUUAAAGAAAAUGUUGUUAGGUCUUAUAUACAUUGAAUUUUAGAGGACGAGCUAUAGUGCAAGAUUAUUUAAAGUACGAUUUUUUUUUAUUCACUAGAUUCCUUCUACAGUUAAAACAUGUGAUUUUAUACAGUACUAAUAGAACGACGUGUUAUUCAUAUCUAAUCUUCUACACAAAGACCAUAUUUUCCUCUAACUUUCUUCUCAAUUGCAUGUUAGCAUUCAUAGGCUACCAGGAUGUGCUGUCGGUGAUAAUCCUCCCCAGCACUAAACCAGCUACUUUGAGUUGUUUCCCGGGCUAUGUUCUUCAGUAUGGUAGCAAGCGUCUUGGAAAUUACUAGUUACUUCAUAUGAUACAUUACAUAGGCUUAUAGGUAUGAACUAAGUCACAGCUAGUCUCUGGACUCUAUUUCAGGAAUCAGAACAAUAGUAGUCAUGUUCCAAUCAUCAGGAAACAUGCGUCAUUAACCGCUUGUGACACCUCUUUAGUAAGCUCAUCCCAGUUAUGUGCCAAAACCAUUUACGAAAAUAGCAUGAGGGGCAUCGGGACCAAGGAGCCUUAAAAUCCCCUAUACUGAAUAAUGCUUUUUUUAAACCCUUCAGGGAGAAAGGAUCCAACAACAUAUCAUUCACAUGUUGUGUAAACCAAGGAAUAUCACUUUGCUCAACACCUCCAGACGUUCGGUUUGCCCACCAGAAAAUAGAACUAAGAAGUAAUCCUUAGCAUGAUUCGAACGCAAAUGUCCCCUCUAUCCAAUUCCAGUUUACCCUGCCUCGUUGGAACUAGAUGAGUUCCUCCUACUCCGGCAUGUUCUCCAACAUUAGUUGAAUUUCUUUCUAAUGCUUCAUUGGACAUGCAGCCACACAUGGGAUCUUCAAACUCUAGCUAUAGUUGUUGAAUCGUCUUUCCCGGGUUUUUCAAUAUUGGCAUGCUCUCUUUUGAUCAGAAUGGCACCUCUUUUGAUUUGAGCAAUUGGCUUUAAUAAGCUUGCUGUUGAAACAAUAUCAGUGAGAUACAUUUGUUUUCCUCACCUGGCAGCCAUCUAGGAUUUUUUUUACUGCAAACUUGUUCUGCUCAUCAUCCUACUUAUCUGAGAUAAAUGGCAGGUACUACCUCUGUACACCAAUAUAAGAUGUUUUUGCAGUUCAAACGUCUUAUAUUAGUUUACAGAGGGAGUAGUAUAGAAGGGUUUGGAGAAUAUAAUAAAUGAACUGUGAAACUCUUACUUCCAUAAAUUUAGACUAGCCUUUACAGUGUUGUAAUUGCCAGGUGGAACCAGUGCCUUCACAUCUACAUGCACAUGCUGAAAUUACUUUACAAAACAAAUUUACAGUGCUGCACACAUUUACAUUUGUGAACACAGGGAAUAGAAGAGAACAUGACAUGCUCACAUCAUACAGAGGCAGACCUCCCAAUCGAGAGAUUCAGCGUUAGGUUAGUAGAACUGCAGAAAUCAUAUGGGACCAAAAGGAAAGCUUUUGUAGGGCGCAGACCCGCCCACUCCUUUGCAUUUGUGACAGAGGCCUUGAGUUGCAGGCAGUUUUCGGGGUUUCUCGUACUGGCCGCUUCGAUUUCGUAGGAGAACUUCCAGUUCAAAUCGCCAGUCCUGAGGCAAACCACGGAAAAGGCAUGCCCGAAGGGCGUCAUGUUCUUGUUCAGCAGCAGGAAGAGGUGAUCGUCCUCUCCGAGAAGAACAAGAAAAGGCAGGGACGCCUCCAAAUUCACUUCAAAUGGCUGGCCGUAAACGAAGUGCAAGAAAUCGGCACUGUGGUGGUCGACGAGGAAGUGGCCUGACCAACGCCCUGUGAAGCCUCUGUAUCCACAGCCAGGAAUCGGACACGUUGAAGGAGCAAAGAGGCAAGUUUCUUCAUGUGUGUUUCGUUGCGUGUAGCUAACCAACUCGCAACAGCCCCACUUGGCGUAUGCGCAGGAGGACUUGAUUGACUCGACAAUCUUCUCCAGUGCAAUGUUCCGUGCAAAGAUCGCAUCAUGAGAACAAACAUGACACUUGUUGCUGAGCCUGGACCAGCAGGACAAGCAUGCUACAUGGCCAUUCUGGCACUGGAAAAUACACAAAACAAGCUGUGAUCAUGCAAUAGAUAUCUUGCCUCUUAUAACAAAAGGUAGUCUUCUCGAAACAAGUGUGUCCACUCUGCCUUUGCAGCUUAAUUCGUGCCUUAAAUACACGCCAAAAAUUAUAUGGAUCACAUGGUUUUUAGCUUUAUGGAGUUGACUGUAUAUGUUCAGAAAUGUAAACUGUAUGUAUGUCAGUAUGUGUUUAGAACCAGCCAUGGAAUGGUUUUUGCUGACGAUUUCUAUCAGUUUCCCUAGGGCAGUGAUGCUCGAUGAUGGUUUUAGCAGCAUAGCGCUCUUUCUAGCAGUACAGAUGAGUCCUCGGUGUGCUUAUAAGCUGUGGUGUUCCAUCUAAACUGUUACAGUUUAUGAGGUUUGCCUCUUUGUUAGUGACUUAUCAACUGAAACAUGUAAUGACCUUGAGAACAAACCCAGGUACCUAUAAUGGAGGGAAAGGCACAGCUCGGCGAGGAAGGAAUUCAGAGAAAACAAUAGACCGUGAGACUUAAACUAUAUACUCCCUCUGUCCCAUAAUAUAAGAGAGUUUUUUACCCUAGUGUAGUGUGAAAAACGCGCUUAUAUUAUGGGACGGAGGGAGUAGAUAAGUGUGAUCUUUGUUCCUUACUUGCUUGAAAGUUUGACAAUUACUUGGAGGUUCUAGAACCUAAAAGAUAGAAACUGCUUCAGAAGGAAAUGAAACAGAGCAACUAACCAAAGGGAAAUCAGAGUACCUUGAAUCCCAAAAUUAGUUCUCCUUCCAUAUGCAGAGAUUCAGUUGUCAGGAAUAAUGGGGACAUUGGCUCAAGAAUGCAUUUUAAAAACUGGUCUGUGGUCACAGUGUCCUAAGGAACAGUGGAUAGUAAUUGUGCAGUUACCCAACUGCUUCGCUGCCUAUCAUCGUCUCUGAUCCCCUCCUGCCAAUUGCCAUAGCUAUGGAUUUUCUUAAUUAGCUCAACAGAAGCGAUGCCAGCUUAAUUAGCGAAUUCUAAUCGAUAAUUAGCAGAGGAAAGAAUCAAGCAGCAGCGCGAUGGAUAAUUUGGCAGAGCAACAUCUUCCUUCCUCCGGUUAAUUUUUUAAUUUACCUGGUAGAGGGGAGGGCAGAGGGGCUCGAAGCAGAUGGAGCAGUCGAGCAGGUCCGGGUCGAUCCGCAUGCUGAUCCCCGCCGCGUCGCCAUCCCCGCCGGCGCCGACCCUCCCCACCUCCCGACCGCACCCCGCCACCGCCCUCUCCUCCCGCUCGCCGCCCACGACCUCCAGUCUCCGGGCCUUGGGGGGCGGCCCUCCACCAGCCGCCCCGUCUUCAGGGGCAGGGCCGCCUUCGCGCUUCCUCUUCUCGGACCCGGCGGCGGCGGCGGGUGGAGGGUCUUCGUCGGCGUCGGCGUCGGCGAAGGAGAACUUGGCCAUGGAAGGAAAAUGGAGUAACCAACCGUAUUUCUUCUUUUUUUUUCCUUCUUGGGGGUGUUCGUUUUACAGCUGCGAGGGGAUGCACGUCACGUUGGAUCGUUUAGCCCACCAUCAUCAUGUCACUGACUCGUGGGGCCCGGGGGCACCUGUCAAUUACUCCCACGGUUCUAUAAUGUAAGACGCUUUUUUGACAUUACACUAGUGAAAAGAUGUCUUACAUUAUGGGACGAAGGAAGUACAAACAAAGAUAUUCCGGUUGAGGUCACCCUCGUCUCAAAAUCAGACAAGUGUCUUCCAUCGAUUUUUUAAAUCAGACAAGUGUCUUUAAAAAAAUCUAACAAGUGUCCAUCGAUUUCCGCCACACACUCCUCCUCCCUCCAACACGAGCCAAACCGCAUGUGGCCAAUGGUGACCGCACACCUCGCCGCUCGGUCUUCCAUCAAAACCUUCCCUCCUUCGUCGGCGCCGGAGGCCAAACCCACACCCGCACCCAAACCCAUCAAUCUCUUGUUGACGACCCCGCCCGCGGUCAACCAUGACAUCCUCGUCUCUCGUUCGUUCAUUCAUGGCAAGGCUUCGCCGAGGAUGCCAUGUCCAGCUACAUCGCUCCCGUCUCCGCCUCCUCGUAGCUUUGCUUCUUCGAAAAUCGAGUCACAUCAAUAAUGUUAUUUAGGUGACUUUUAAAUGGCAAACGCGCAACAUUUAUCUUUGUGAGUUGUGACAGCCCAAGGGCUCGUCCACAAACGAGAAGAGUAAGCGCGCAACAUUACAUAGUUGCUAACGACCACCUCAAUAGGCAAGAUCGAUUUUGCGAUAAAAGUUGUUUACUUGUACAAUUCGAUAAACAAACAAGCAAGCAAACUAAUCAUUUCCAAAAGUUUGAGCCGGUGGGAAAAUUGUACAGAAUAUGUUGCACACAACUGCUGAAAUAAAUUCACAUAAGAUCUAGCAGGAGGGUGCAGAAAAGCGCACACACACAGGUCAUACAAAUUUCUGAAACAAUUCAAAUCUGAACUGUAUCUUUAGUCAUACAAAUUUCUGAAACAAUUCAAAUAUGAAGUUUGGUCAUACAAAUUUCUGAAACAAUUCAAAUCUGAACUGUAUCUUUGGUCAUACAAAUUUCUGAAACAAUUCAAAUCUGAACUGUAUCUUUGGUCAUACAAAUUUCUGAAACAAUUCAAAUCUGAAGUGUAUCUUUGGUCACACAAAUUUCUGAAACUAUACAAAUCUGAAAUGUAUCUUUGGUCAUACAGAUUUAUGAAACUAACCAAUCUGAACUGUAUCUUUUGUCAUACAUUUACUGAAACUAAUCAAAUCUGACCUGUAUCUUUUGUCAGACAAAUUUCUGAAACUAAUCAAAUCUCUGAACGUAAUCAAUAAUUUCUGAACUGUAGCUUUUGUCAGACAAUUUUCUGAAAGUAAUCAAUAAUUUCAGUCACUAAUUACUGAUGAAAAUCAAAACUGAAAAACUACUGUUACUUUCACAAUUUUUCAGUCAUAGAAUUCUAAGACUUCCCAACAAUUUUGCAGUCACAUAUUUCACAAGCAAACUAAUCAUUUCCAAAAGUUUGAGCCGGUGGAAAAAUUCUACAGAAUAUAUUGCACACAACUGCUGAAAUAAAUUCACAUAAGAUCUAGCAGGAGGGUGCAGAAAAGAAAAAAAAAUCACAAAAAGAAGUCAAAGUUGGAGCCACUUGUCAAGUUAUCAAGGAUGGUGGGCUUAAUUACCUCCAUUCCGGGUGCUCUCCUUUGAGCAUUUCUGAUAAUUCAUGGAGAAAAUAGUAAUUUCAGUACGCUUCCGAUUGUCGGACCAAGCUCUUUUAGAAUUUAUAUUAUAUAAGACCUAAUUUGGUAUUUCUCGCAGGGCCUCCGAUUUCUCAUGUACGGCCCUGAUAUGCAUGGCACUUUUCAAAUUUCAAUAUGAGCCUACAUACACCAUGGGCACACCUUGCUCCAUGGUUAUUCUCUCAAAACUUACUAACUUGAACAUAUGUGGCAUGCUUUCAUUAUUGAAAGAGGUUCCAGUACAAAAUCUCAUCAAGCAAAUGCACCGCCACCAAGUAAAAUUUAACAACUGAAGAACCAGAUAGACCAUAAAUAAAAGAGAACCGGCCUGCGACAAGAAUUAGCUUGGCAUAACUAUGCAAAUCAACCAAAAGACACAAUGGCACAAUUGGAAACCAUCUGGGAAGAAAAUUUUCAUUGUUAUUACCAGCAUCAAGCCUCAUAUGUUAAGCAAAAAACGCUGCAAUGUAACACCACUGUCAUGUCAUCAGACCACAGCAAGCAUGAAACACAGGUACAGAGGUCCGCAAUCGCCAACGGAAGAUCAAUUAAUUCAUGGUCGCAACAGAAUGGUGGUAGUAUACUAACUUGGACACUUAGCUGCUAAUCAUGUGCUAGCAGGAACAAGAGUCGACGGGGCGGAUAUCCAAACACUGAAAACAAACCUCAACGGUGCCUUGCAUGCACAGACCACGGGAACAACAGGACACCGAUAACUUUCAGGGCAAUUUGCGUCCCACACACCUGUUGUGGCUUCAGUAGUUUGCAGAAGGGAAUUUCAAAAGGAAAAAGAAGUCGCCAAGAGGAAAUUCAGACCCUCGCUUGUACCGUCCUUGAAGAUCAGAACAGCCGGUGACCAGCGCAACGGAGAUUUCACCUGCCCGUUUAAACUUCGCCACUUUGGAAUGCACCUCCUCCGCCGAAGUGGAGCCAGCGGACAACAGGAUCACCACCUGCUUGAGCACUGAUGCAGUCUCGACGAAGUAUUUGAGGAAGGCGAGCUCACUUCGGUCCCCUCGGAAAUCAUGGAAAAUCAGCCGCUUGACGCACGACCGGACGCAUUCUACGGUACCAGAGUCAUGCCAGAACUUUAGGUUGAGCUUGCCAGUGGAUAGAUCGCACUUUCCAGACUGAAAAAAAAAUCCAUCAAUUAAAUAAAUGCACAUCAAGUUCAACAGCUAUAUGUUUGAUAGGAAUUAGCAAUAUAGUACAGGCAAACAAAAGCAAGCUGAAAGAGAGAGGGCUUCACCUUGAUGUGGAGCGUCUCGACAUUAGGAAAACAUCGGAGGAGACUGGGAAUCAUCUUGGCAUCAUUGCGUACUCCGAAACGGACAUCCAAAGCCAGGACUGUCACACUUGAUACCAUGGUUCUUGGGCUCACCCUUGUCCCAGCCUGCAAAUGCAAUUCAGAAUGCAACCAUCUUCAGUUAAGAGAAGAAAGAAAAAUCAGAAAAAGGAAAGUUAAACAACAGUCUCGGCACCUUGAUGAUGGUGUUGCCGACCUCCAGAACAUGAUUCCCUGCGUCCAACUGCAGGUAUGCCAGCAAUUGCAGCUUGGGGGCAUGGCCAAUCUUGACCUUGGUGCAGCCGCCAUGAGGGGUCCAACCUUCCAAGUUGAUGAGGCGCUCAAGGCGUGGGGCGUUCACCACGAAGAUCUCCUCCAAGAAGGAGCCGAUGAUCUGCACGCACCGGAGGCUUUGGCUGACAAGCCGGAGCCGGAGCGUGAACAGAUUCCCUUCGAUGAAAAGCGUCUCCAGCACGGGGCUGCUGUCGAGCAUGAAGUCCAGAUCCCUGGUCUCCAUGAGGACGCUGCAGAGCCCGAGCUCACGGAGGUUGGGGAAAGAGACGCCGGGGCCGGGCGGGAGGCCGGCCGUGUCGGGGAACUUCCAGAGCCUGAGGUGGAGGCGGGUGAGGGUGGCCAUGCCGAAGACGGCGGCGGGGAGGACGGCGUCGAGCGAAAACCAGCUGCUGACGAGGACGAGCUCCUGUACCGCCUUGGCGGCGAGAAGCUGGAGCCAGGGCGCGAGCAGGUGGCCGGACUCCUCGGUGCAGCUGCUGGUGAGGUGGACGCAGCGGAAGGGCCCCGGGUGCGCGCCGAGGACGCGGGACAGGGCGGAGGCGGCCGGGGACGGGGAGAGGUCCGCGUCGGCGAGGACGAGCGGGGCGGAACGCCACACCCCGCGCCAGCGGCGGGAGAGCGCGGCGGUGCGCGCGGCGUCCUUGACGGGCAGGAGGGAGACUAUGCCGCGGAGGAGCGCGUCGGGGAGGCGGCUGACGCGGUCGACGGCGUCGUCGGGUCGGGGGGGAGGGCGGAGAGGCGAGCGGCGGCGGAGACGGGCGGGUCGGGGACGGUGUGGUGGAUGCAGUAGAGCAAGCGGGCGAAGAUCUCGUGCCUGUCGUCUAGGUGACGCCCGUGCUGCAUGAGCUCGCCCGCCAUGGCGACCCCUAGGGCGCCCAGGGUCGGCGCCGGCGGCGGCAUCGCUCGGUGGAGCGGAGCAGGGACGGCGGAACAGAAGGGGGACGAAAUGCGAACCAAAUCAGAUCCUACGGUCAAGAUGAAUCAAUAACUCUGCAGAUUGCUCUCACACGGAGAGAAAGAGAGUAAGUGCAUCUCCAACCCACCCCAAAACCGCUAGUAGACAAACUCUGGAAGCUAUUUGUUGAAAUAUAUUGUACGCCUCUCUCCAUCAGUUUGGAUUUUAGAUGAGUUAACUUAUGCAUGAAUUCAAUAUGGUAUCCGAGCCAGGAGGUUGCCAACGGAAUAUUAUAUAAAUCCCACAUAUAAGGACUAAAUAAGGCUAGACGUGAGGAGGGUUGUUGAAAUAUAUUACCCGCCUCCAUCAGUUUGGACUUUUUAAUGAGUUAGCUGCUUCAUGAAUUCAAUACCAUCCAACACCGAUCCAUCCGUUUGCGGAGCAGUCCGGACCAUGAUUUUCCCGCAACCCAAACGUGGGGGGCUUGACGCGAGUCUGAAAACAAGACAUGUCGGACUCUGACAUCCCUGGUCCAUCCAAAAGGAAGGCGGAGCCCGCGCUUUUAUAGUGCGUGCAUUGUUUCUAUGGCAAAAUCCCUCACUCUCUUCUUUCAUCUCGCGGCUCUCCACCCAAUUCCCGCUCUUUUCUCACAUCUAUUCUUACCUCCCGCCGUCGACGCAUGGAACCAGAGGAGAACCUGCCGGAGAUGGAGGUGGUGGAGGCUCCGAGUAUCAUGCUCGCCCAGAAGAUCAACUCGGCGACACGGCAAAAUCCCCGCUCAAAGCGAAGGUCACAAAGGAGGAAGCGCUCAAGAAGCAUAAGGCCGGUGGAGGACUACUCGUGACGGACAUGUCGGUGGGCGUGCUGGUCACAGACGUGGUGGAGGUCGUGGCCCGUUGGUGUCGCCCACCGUACAUAUGCCGCGAUGGCUAGAGCAUAAAUUACAAGGCUCCGUACUUCUACGCCACCAAGCAACUCGGUAGGCAGUCCACGGCAUCCGCCGCCGAGCAAGUGCCUGACAUUGUCGACGUAAAUGCGGCAUCACUGCUCUUCUCGAAGUGUUCUUCGCCACAACUUUCUAGGCAUGAAAAGCGGGCGGGGAGCAAAUGGGUGUCCGCAUGUUAUUUGCUGUUAUGCCUAAAACGGUGGAGCUGGCGUAUGACGAUGCGGACACGGAGAUGUUAGACAUCAUCCAUGUUGGAUGCAAAGGAGGAGGUGGCAAUGAAGACGGGCAGGUGGAAGACUUGGAUCCCACCCGGUCCCACAACUACACCCAGACGCAGUAGGGCUACACCCAGACCGGCACGGGCGCAAAGCAACAGGAUUAGGCCGCCAGACAAUAGGAGUAGAAAGGAGGAGGAGGAGGAGGAGGGGAGCUCCUAUUGGGCGCGUGACGCGCUGGCUCGCACCCCUCCCCUCUCAUGCUCCCCUCUUGGGCCAGGCCAUGAGCGGGGCUCAACGACCCUAGUUUUUUAUUUCAUUUUUUGCUUUCUUUUUUAUUUUUCCUUCUUGAAAAUAAUUCAGAAUUUUUAAAAAGUUCCAUUGGAAAAAUAUUCCAGAAAUCUAAAAUGUUUGUUGUUUCAAAAAUGAUUUAUAAAAAAUGUUCGUGAAUUUGAACAAACAUCAUGAAUUCAAAAAAUAUUCGGGAUUUCAAAAAAUGCUGGUCUAUUAAAAAAAUCAUGAUUUUCUAAUAAAUGUUCAUGGAUAUUCAAACCAAUGUUCGGAAAUUUAUAAUUAUUCCGAUUUUUUUAAAUCACAAAAUUCAAAUAAAUGUUUCCCGAUUCAAACAAAUAUUCAUGAAUUCAAAAUAUGCACGUCUAGAACAAAAACUAUUUUUAAAUUUAAAAUUUUGUUCCCAAUUUUUUUUUAAAAAUGAUCGCCUAUGCAAAACACUUUUUCACGACUUCCAAAAAUAUAUAUGCAAUUACUGAAAUAUUAGUGAAUUCGUAAAAUGUUCAUAAAUUUGUAAAAAUAAAUGAAUUUAAAAAUAUUCAAAUUAUAAUAACAUGAUGAACAUUUUUUGAAUUCGAAAAAUGUUCACCAAUUUGCAAAAUGUUCAUGAAAUUUGGAAAAGGAAGAAAAGAAAAAUAGAAACAGAAAAAGGAAAAUAAUAAAAUUACAAAAAAACAAAAAAUUAAAUGGAAAUAAAAAUAAGAAUAAAAAAGGUGAACAUAAAAAAUAAAAGAAAAAGGGAAAUGAAAAUGAAAUAAGUAGAAAAACCGAAUGAAAACACACACAAAAAGUAGCUCCUUCCCGAAACCAAAAAAAGAUAAUGGCCCGACCUAAAUCGUUUGUAGCGGCUGCGGAUGGGGGGGGCGAGGGGUUCGGGCUCGGUCGCCAACUGGCGACCUAUGCACCAAAUAGGAUCCCCAGAGGAGGAGGAGGAUGAUGAUCCGGAUGAUUUUGCCGGCGAUCCGAAGAUGAGGGGUAGAGGAGAAAGUUUCAAUAUGUGGGAAGACGAGCUGUUGUGUGAUGCAUGGUUGGCCACUAGCCUCGAUCCGAUCCAUGGCACGGAGCAAAAACGACACAACGUUUUGGGCCAACAUUCAGACAUGGUUCCAUGAACACAAGCAUUUCGUGCCCUACUCCGGCGUGGUCAUCCACAACCGUGAAUCAAAGUCCCUCAACCAUCGAUGGUAAACCAUCCAAGAGGCCGUGUGAAGUAUUGCAGCUACUUGAAGCAUCUCAUUGCACGGUGGCCUAGUGACGCAAAUCAUCAAGCAACUAAGCUCAUUUGGCCUAAUAUGCAUAGUUUUGUUGUUCACUAGCCGGAUAUGCAUAGUUUUGUUGAUCACUGGCCAGAUAUGCAAAGCUUUGUUGGUCACUUGCAGGAUAUGCAUAGUUUUGUAGCUGGAUAUGCCUAGAUGUUGUCCUUGAAUUUGGAUGUUGUGAUGCCUACGCAAGAAUGAUCUUGCAAGCCAUCCGCUACAAGAUGUUGCAGCGAUAGAAAAAUGAGUUAGAGGCAGAGAACAAGAAGGAGGAGGAGGAGGCAGCGGAGAAGGAGGCGUAGGCAGAGGCUUCCUACGCGGCGGCGACGACACCUUGAGCAUGGAGGCUCGGAUUAUCGGUCCGGCAGGGUAGAAUUCUGGUAGUGGAAAAUCUAAUUUUUUCACGGACUGCUGGACGGAGUUUUUUUGUGAUCGGGCAUGGAAAAGCUAAGUAUACUUGCCUCUUUUUGAUUGUGAUCGGGCAUGUGAUCCAAAGCUGGUGAGAUCCGGCGCGCGCUAUGGAUCGGACUUUAUUUGAAUUUUAAAUUUUCCUUUACUGGCAGACAUAUACAUGAUAGCUUUGCAUGUCCAAUUUACAGGUAAGCGUUGGAGAUGUCCUAAUGCAAUAAUCAAAUUAUCACUAGCUAUAUGGCUAAUGUUUCUUCUUAAGUCAGGCCCGAAGGCUCUUGAUUCAUUAAGAAUGAAUAGGAGAGUUGCCUGGUUAAUAUCCUAAAACCAGGCUAAAAUCAUCACAACAACUCAUAUAGGGCAAUACCAGUCGACCUGACCACCCGCGCGAAGGUAGAAAACGCCGCAUAGAAGAAACACAUAGCCAGGAUAAUCACCAAGCAAAGGGAGAAAUUCGAGAGAGGGGAUGAGCAAGUGAACAAGGACCUCUAUGACCAAAUGAAGGUUAGCUCUUUUCCUUACCAGGCCAACAAUAUUAUCCGAUAAAAUCCUUGAUUAAUAACACCAACAAAAAUAACUGCAAAUUCUUUCGCUCAUCUCGAGGCUAUGACACCUCCUCCUACUACUCCUCCAUCACAACCUUGAGGCCGUGUCAACAUACAUGUUUGUGUCCUAUGGUUCUGAGACACAUGGUAAAUCAUUUUGUAACGAUGAACUUUGUAUGCAUGUGACAUUAUUGAACUUGUGAUGUAUGUGCAAUGAUAUGUAUGUGUCAAUUGCUAUAUAAUGCGAUAUGGUAUGUUUGAAAUGCCAUAUAAAUUGUGAUAUGUGCAUAUGUUUAUUGUAUGCGUUAUUGUGGGGCUAGCUGCAAAAUUAAUUAAAACUGUUGAACACACCUUUGUCGAGUGCCACGAUCAAUAAAAGAGCCACAUAGUAGCAGUUGGGAGCAUCUGAAAUUUUUUGUCGAGAGCCUGAGUGCGGAGCCGUCAACCGCAGACGACAAGGACACGUUGAAUCUUGCUUGCUGAGUGUCUUCCUACGGAAUCUUGCUUGAUGAGUUUUUUUGUGUUGCCGAGUGUUUUUCGGUGACUCUUGACGAAGGUUUUCGCUGCCGAGUCCCCACGUUUGCCGAGUGUGGUACUCGGCAAAGGGGAGGUUUGUCAGCCGGUGAAUCCCGGCAAAAAACGUCGCACUCAGCAAACACCAAUUUUCCGGUAGUGGCUUCACACAUAUGUAUUACAAAAUUACUGCUUUAUAACAUAACAAGGUAUUUCUUUAACAUAUCAUUUGUGGAGGGUUGCAUAACCAUAUUGUUUGUAAUCGCACGCACAAAAAAGAUAUUUAUGAAACCGUAAAUUUAUAUGUCAAACACAUUCAACACACAAAUAGAUACACAUAAUAUAAUCCAGGUGAAGAUUUAGAAUCCUGCUCCAGCAAGUACAACAGAAUACACCAUUCCUUGUGAUGGAAAUACUUUGAAGGUGACAAAAACCGAACAUAAGUACAGAAGAAGGGUGGGGACGGAAUCUCCACGAGAAGAGAAUCUAUCCAUGGCGGCUAACAUGAUGGAUCAUCACGUCACUCGCACCGUUAUUUUGCUCUUUUAUUUCAUGCGCUAUAGUUUUCGUUUACCAAAACGCCUGUCUCUGCUCUGGAAGGACAUAAGAGCUUCGAGAUAUUCAGCCUCCCCGAAAUCAGGCCAGAGCGUGUCAGUGAAGAAGAGCUCGGUGUAAGCAGACUGCCAAAGCAUGAAGUCACUGAGCCUUAGUUCGCCGCUGGUCCUGAUGAGUAGGUCAGGGUAAGGGAACUCGUCUGUCCAGCUCGUUUGGAGCUCGUCGGCGAAUAGUGAAUCAUCGAUGUCCUUCGGUCUGAGCAGCUUGUUGUACACCUUUUGGGCAAUCUUCUUGCAUGCUUGCAGGAUGUCCGCUCGCCCACCGUAGCUGAUACCUAGCAUCAGGUCGAUUUGUGAGUUGCUUCUUGUUUCCUCCUCGGCAUCGUGUGCAGUCUUCUGCAGAUAAGUCGGCAACCUUGACAAGUCACCGAUUACGUGUAGACGAAUCCCAUCCCUACAAAACAUAAUAAUCUCUUCUGUUUAUUAGUCAAUACAAGUAUUAGUAGAAGUAAUUAGAAUAGCUACAUUCAUAGCAUUCAUAAGCACAUAAAAGGAAGACUCGUGCCUUCCACAACAAGUGCAUGCCGCCCCCAAUAUUGCUCAACAACAUCAAUCUCGAGACAGAACUUUGGUAACCGCGGGAGCUAAUUAAGAAAUUAGGUCCUAAUCAUUCUUGGAGAGUAAUCCCUUUGUAGCUCCGGGCUGUAAUAUAACUCUACUCUCUUCUUAAUUAAUGGACGAGGCAAAUCUUUUGCCUCUGUUUCAAAACAAGCACACAACAUGUCCUAAGUCACAUUCCACUCUCAGUUUCUAAUUCAAGUGAAGUAGUAUGCUUUUCAAGCUCCCAGGGGUUGUCUUUGUAGUUGGGAUUCAAUUUACAAAUUACCCAACCUGAAGGCCCCAAGGGGUCGGAGAAAGGCCAGAGGAAAUGUGGGUAUCUUACAUGGACAUGUUGGUUACGACGCAAUGUGUCUAAGUGCGGUUCCAUUAAAAUUAAGCUAAAAUGUCAAAGGACAAAAAUGAAAAUUUUCUCACCAACAACCGCAGUGGGGAUUCAGGGAAGAGGUAAGGAUUAUAAAAUCUUAUCAUAUCAUUUCUACCUAAAAGAUUCAUCCUUGCUAAUUAAUUUAUCUCAACAUGCAAGUAUGCCACCUCCCCAUAUGAUUAUGAACGUGAUAUAGCCUACCUCAACAUGCAAUCAUGCAUUGGAAAAAAUCCACCCCAACAUUCAACCAUGCAUGAGAAAAUGUUUUCUGUUUAAUUAUUCCAUGUAUAUUUAGUAAAUAUUGUUACAACUAUACAUAAUCAAAUAUAGUUAGUCAUAUGUAUUUUAAGUUUCGUUCUCAUGUUAUCAUCCCAGAUUUUCAUCCACUAAUUCCCGCAGCAACGUGCCCUAAAUAGUUCAGACCCACUACCUCUAUUAUCUUAACUUGCACAUAUGCCACCUCAUCAAAGGACCACCACAAUAUGUAUAAGAAAAUAUUUUCCAUUAUUAGUUGAUCCUAUGCAUACAUCCGACCUCACCACACAUGUCAUCUCAUCAAAGGUCCACUCAACAUGCAUGGAAUUUUAUUUUCCAUUAUAUUAUACCAUGAUAAUCAAAUACAAUAUACAUGUAUUUUUAGUUUUAGUUAAUAUAUUAUUAUUUCCAUGUUUCGUACAAUCAAAUCACUUGAAAUAUAUUGUAGUCGAUUCCUGCAGCAACGUGCGGGGUAUUAUCUAGUUUCCUCUAUUCUUUGUCACUCUAUCCACCAUACAUAUCUUUUUUCUAACUAUCCACCACCCCAAUAUGGGAUGAAUAUAUGAUGACGAGAACAAAAUUUGAACUAAUGCAUACUUUGCCUUCAAAAUUUUGAAUUUUUUUGAAAAUUUGAUUAAUAUUUUCAAGUUGACGUAAAAUAUAAACUCGUUUGCAAAUCAUAUGGAUUUUCUAAUGAAUGGAAACCACUCAUAUUUUGAAACACCUAUUCAACAUUGUUGAAAUUUCUAGAAACCCUUGCCACCCAUCCUAUACAACAUUGUUGAAGGUAUGUUGGUAGUGCUCAUUGGGCUAGCUAAAGAGGCUAGCCAAGUGAAUGGUCUUAUUCAGCACCUUGUUGAUGGUGGGUCUCGGUUUUGCAGUAUCCGGAUGGCACCACCAUAUACAUGGAGCAUGGCAUUGAGAAGGCUAUAAACGUGAUGUUAAUUUUGUAUCUGUUUGAGCAGUUUUGGGCCUUAAGUUUAACUUCCUUAAGAGCGAACUUCCUGGUUUUGGAAAGCCAAAGCAGAGGUCGAUACAAAUAGUUGUUUGGUUAUGAGUCUGGUUCUCUUCCCUUUUAGUAUCUAGGCGUUCUAAAUCACUUUCGUAAGCUCCUGAAUAAGUAAAGGAAGUGUAUUGAAGUCCGCUUCAAAACUAAGUUGGAUGGAUAAGCUCAUGUUCUCUGGUGCACGUCUUUCUCUUAUAAAUGUUGUAUUUCUUUGAUAUAAAUAAACAAAGGAGUCAUUAAGGAAAAGACUAGACUAGAAAAAAAUCCGAGAGUUUUCGGAAACCAGUAUUCCCGGCUCCACACCCGGGAAAAAAUGGUACCGGGAAAAACCUGAUUGUAGUAGACUAUAGUUUCUUUUAAUGACUCCUAAUAAUUUGUUCCCUACACAAUUUUUGAGAAAAAAGAAAAAAAUGGUAUUGAGGGAUGAAUCCGUAAGGUAAAUUCUCAUAUUGUGCAUGCGUGCGCGCGCGUGUGUGUGUGUUAGAGAGAGAGACGGCAGUUUAAUGGAGCCGUUAAACGAUGAAGACAUAAUAUCUUGUUAGUGCCAGGUUGCACCGUGCUUUAUGCUCUUUCUUUUUUCUUUGCGGGAAGUACUCUUUUUCUUUCACUUGUUACUUUCGAAUGAUAUGUACUGCAUAUUUGAUAGUAUGAACUUAAUAAACAUGACUGUGUGAGCGGUGACGAGAGCGUGUCGGCAGCUUGUUCUCGCGACGGUAGUGGUCUUUAGGUGGUCUGGAAAUCUCAAUUUUUAUUAUAUUUGAGAUGCUCUGUACUCCUUUCAAUGAAUUUUGAUAAUAGAUCUGCAUCUUUUAUGGAAAAAAGAGAGACCUAUGGUAAACCCUCCUCAGGAAAAAAAAAACAUGCUACCUUACAAACUGGGCGACAUUGUCCUGGAUGAACCGAUCGAACACGCCCAUAGCAAAGUCAACCUCCUCCUUGGGACGGUUCCAGUUCUGAUCGGAGAAGGCGAAGACAGUGAGCACGCGGAUUCCCCAGGCGCGUGAGAGCCGCACCGUCUCCUCCAGCGCGGGCUGCAAAGCGGCGUGCCCCGCCGACGUCGGCAUGCCCCGUGCUUGCGCCCACCGGGAGUUCCCGUCAAUGGUCACCGCCACGUGACGCGGCAGCGACUCGACCCGCAGCCCUACUGGGAGGAUCCCCUCGGCCGGCAGGCCGAUGCUGGCGCGGACGCGUAGGCAUGGUGGUGCUGCAGUGCGCCUUGUUUGGUGGGAGGAGCUCGAGCCCCCUCGCUGCUGGAAGGGAGAAGCAGCUUGAAGAGCGUUGCGCGUUUGGAGGGGGAGCUGCAUGGCGUGACCGCAAGACAAUGCACGGCUUCUUGGCGCUCCGUGGUCUCAGAGUUGAGAGCUACUACUAUCUCAAAAGUAUGAGCAGCCAGUACCAUCAUUAUAUAGGCCGGCAGACUGAUCCCGCAUGCUCAACAAGAUAAAUGAGAUUGCGGGCUUCACCCACGUUUUUUCUUUUUGCGAGGUGCUCGAGGUUUUACACAAAUCCUUCAUCUGAAAUUUCGUCGUUUAGAUGAUCACGUGCUUCGUCAACACGGGGGUAAUCCUUUAUGUGAAAAAUACACAUGGAUAAUCAUCAUUGUAGAAGUGAUCCUUGUGUAUAAGAAAAUCACUAUGUCGGUUGUACCAAAUAUACCGACAACAAUAAGCAGUAUGUUCACUUAUUGAUUUUUACACAAUACAUAUUGUGUUUUGCAUUUUGAUUAAGAAUUAAGAUUCCAUCAAGAACCAAUUAUGUAUGAAUCUAGUGAUCCACAUGGAUAUGUAAUCACUACAUAGAGAUAUGAUUUUGUACUGUCAAUGAUAUAAGGUAUCAGAAAGAGAUUCCACCUCUGGAGAAUAGUUUGGGUAUCUGUAUGAACCGUUGUGCUACAAGACUUGCUCAAUGUUUCACCACCUUGUUGUUCUCAUCAUGUUUCCGGAAUAAAACAGGUGUAGGUAUAUAUUGCAUUGUGAAUACCCUCCCAUUACUGAGUCAGAUUAUUUUCGCCUAGAUUGCAUCCUCUAUUUGUGUUGAGUCUGAGUGUUGUUCACACUUUGCAUGCCCAUGGUCUUUGGACCUAAAUCACUCAAUCUAGUUGAGAAAUGUAUGUCGGCAAUUGUAAGCAUUCGGUUAUAUGCCUCCAGAAUCUAUAUAUGUAUAUAUAGUUGACGGCAAUAUCAUUAUCCAUGGUGACUAUUCGCGAUUUCCCAAUGCGGUUGAGUCGGCUAUUCCAAUGUCCCGGUCAUUGUGUGGACUGUGACCUGGGUUGUUGGAGGUUGCCCAUCUGGGUGUAUACUACCCAUUAGGGGUCUAUCAACGUGAAGUUGAUGAUGUAUUUUACACUCAUUCCACCAUGUUCAAACUGGACAAUCCCAUAUAUUCCAUGAAAUCACUGAUCUUUUCACUAAUGACAAACAAAUGCAGAAGAUUACAUAUCCCUUUGUUUAGUUUGUUUCUAUGGGAAAAGGAUCAACAAAGGAAAGGAAAUGAAAUUAUACAUGGAAAUAUGAAGUCGAAUAGAGAUAGCUUUUAUUGUUUCCGUCCUGACAUUUGCACUUCUUUUGGGUUUAUGAUGCCAUUUUCCGGGGCCGUUACCUGUUUAGCCCACUGGGUAAAAGCAUGUACUGGUGCUAUGCACAUUAGUGUCGUGCAUUAGUGAUAGAUCUGGCAGGGUGUGACAUUCGUAUUUCCUUCCUUUUUGUGUGGAAUUUUACAUUUUUUGUGGUGGGUACUACCUUGCUUGGGUCUAUUCGGGUUGAUGUUGGUCCAUGCAACGGGGCCACUAAACUGCGAGGUCGCGUUAAAUGCAUCAAUCCACUAUCGCACGACAUGUCUUUAUUGGAAUCUCUUAAAAGACUUAUAUUUUGAAACGGAGGGAGUAGAUUGGAACAAUCCUGCUAAGCGGGAGCCAUGCAUGCCAGUCAAACGUGAGCGAUCAGUACAAUAAACUGCACGACCCUCCGUGGCUCUAGGAUUCGGUUGGAACCAAGCCCCAACAGGAAAAACAACCUGUCUAAGCUGCUACGUUUUGCCCAGCGAAAGCCUUCUUUCCCGUUUGGUGAUCCCCUCUCUGUAGUCGGGCGCACAUAACCGCUCGCUCGACCCUCGACUGUGUAUCAGGAAAUUACCAUGACCAGAGUCAAACACACGGCACAAACUAACAAAAGGACCAUUUGUAUGUGUUGACAUGGCUCCUAUGGUCUGAUGGGAUGGAUAGUGAUCUCCAUGGCUCUCUGCGCCACAUCUGCACCAGCCACACAGCCCACUCUGCCCCGUUGCUCUGCACCCAGCGAAAGCCUUCUCUUUGUUUUGGCAUUCCCCUCUCUAUAUCCGGAAUUAGAUCUCAAGCUCACAAAGUAUGAUAAUGAUCUCGUCAUGUGGCAUUGCGCUUCAAGCUGAUCGACUUAUGAAAUGAGUUACCAUUCAAAGCUUUGAGGUGUUUUGCGAUGGUGCGUGAAGUAAUUGCUUGAAGUAAUGUUUUAGAUUGAUAUUGUGUUCUUUGAAGGGUUCUCUAACAUGAGUUUUCCAUGCCGGACAGGAAGACGAGAAUACGUCAGGCAACCAGAUCCCGCGGAUCAUUACCCUUGACAUCACGCAUUCGCUCACCGAGCACGGAGCAAGUGGUUAGCCAUCCCAUCCCACUCCGACCCAUCGAGCACAUUCUAUGAAGAAACCAAAGCAAACAUUACCCAUCCAAUCCCACACCAACCGAAUGACAUCGAUGGGACCACACCACCUCCCCCUUGGCAAAUUGAUGCGGAGCAUCCCAUGGUCAUCCCCAUGGACCUACCAUCGUCUCAUCAAGAGCCAAGAGGACCCAUGACACGAGCACGAGCUAGAGCUCUCGAGAACGAGGUGACUUCCUUCCUUAGUGAUAUCACAUAUGAUCCACUCGAGACAUGGCUACUACCUAAGUCCGAUAUGCUAUGCAUGAUUAGGUGUCAAGAGGACCCUCCCGGAGAUGCUCAUGAAGACGGACAAGCCGGCAAAUUCAUGGACAAGGAGGACCAACGGGAAGAGUCAAGUGCAACUCCCAGGACCCGGACAUCCGGCCAGGACCCCGGACGUCCGGCCCCUGGAAACGUCACCAGCGCCAAGGAGCCAGCGGCCAAGUCUACAGGCCCCGGACAUCCGGCCGCAGCCCGGACAUCCGACCCAAAAGCCCGGACAUCCGGCGCCCGUCACAGAACGUACCCGAAGCUGAACCACUUCAGCCCGGACAUCUGGCCCGUCCAGAGCUCCCUGACAUCCGGCCCCUCGCCCAGACAUCUGGACCCCGUCUAUCCAGAGAGCAUCCAGGCCAGCCACGCCAGCCCGGACAUCCGGCCCCUCGCGAAGGCCCGGACAUCCGGCCUCCCCUGUCUGCGCACAGUGUAAGGGCCGAGGCCCGUGUACCCCUUCGCCCACCUAGACUAUAUAUACUCCACCAUCUACCUCUUUCUAGGGUUAGCAUUGGUUUAGCUCAUAUGUGAGAUAGAGCUUUGCUCAUCCAUUACGGAUCUACUCCACGAGAGACCGCGGCCCCUCUACAGAGAAGAUCCCCUUGGAUUCAAGACCCCCUCUUGGGUGGCCCCAUCAAGACCUCCUCACGGAGAAGAACCGGUUACCUCUUGUAUCGUCCCUUGUUGACUUUGGAUCGUGUAUCUCCCCUUUGUGUUCCGAGGAUCUAGCAUAUGUGUGACUAUAUCUUGUUGGUUUGAGAGUUCCUCUUGUGUUUUCCCUUGUGUUUCCCCGUGUGUUCUUCGUGUUCUUAGUUGGGAUCCGCUCCUUUCGUGAAAGAUCGGCCGUAUAGGGUUCCACCCUACAUCAUCUUGGUAUCAUGAGCCACAUUGAUCACGAUUUUGGAGCCCCCUCUCUUUGUUUUCUAGCCUAGUUUUGUUGAUUUUGUCCCUAAUUCGAAAAUUGCCCCACAAAAAUAGCCCCAAUUUUUUUUUGUGAUUUGUUGGUGUGAUGAAGUUUUGUUGGAUUUGAUCCGCAGAUUUCGUGUGUUGCAGGUAGAUCUAGCUUUCCCCCAUCUUUUCCCCAAUUUCCAUCCACAAAAUCUCUCGAAUUUUGCCCCGGAUUUGACCUCUCCACGCGGUGUUCAUCGAGUUCGUCCACGGAUCCAGAGCCCGGAAAUCCGGCCCGACAGCCCGGACAUCCGGCCACCCCGGACAUCCGGCCCUCAGCCCGGACAUCCGGCCCCUGACAGCAUCACUCCCAUCCACCACUCCGUUUCCCGCCAAACUUUCGCCCAAUUUUGUUCCGGUGCCCACAUUCCACUUCCGCGUAACCCCACCACUUCCGCAUAGCACCACCAUAGCUCUCCCGCUACCAACUCUGACAAUUUUGAGACGCUUUGCUUUGAAAAUUUGAGUUGCGGUUCCCGUGUCCUAUUGUGUUUCGGCUAUUUAGGUACGGUUCGACAUCGACAUCACCGCUGCUCAUCUUCGCCACGGACUACUACGAACGGUAACCUCAUCUGGGUAUCGUGAUAUCAUCAUACUUUCUUGCAAUUGCAUUGAUAACCCCAUAGCCUUACUUUUGCGUCACUUACCCAUCAAGACUAGCCUUUGAGUAUUGCCGGCAAUGUGACUUGUGCACAUUAGUGAUCAUACUUCCCAUAGCAUCCAUACCAUAUCAUAGUGUUGCAUAUCUUGGUAUCAUCUCUUGUGUCACAAAGUUGUCAUCGCAUAUACUCAAUUGCUACCUUGGUUCGUGAAGUUUUGCAUGAGAAAAGAGCUCAAACAACAAAGAGCCAAACAAGCUUUUAAGCAAAAGGGAAAUAAGCAAAGAGAAUUAUAAGCAAGAACCAUAGCAUCAUACAACAUUAAGAUUGUCAUACUCGAUCAUCUUGGAUCAUAUCAUCGGAAUACCAUACAUAUAGCAUACUUGGGAUAGAAAUCGUUGCAUUUUUGCUUAGUAGGUUGUGCACAAGUUCGUAUCCGCCUAUUGUGCAAUCGUGCUAGUGUCUCUCUAGUGUUGUGCAACAAGAGCAUUUUCGUGGAUUCCACAUGUUGGCUCAUCCCUUGGUUGCACGACCCCACUUAUCUAUUUGCGUGUGUGUUUCCGUGUACCACAUCUUGCUAUUGGUCUACUUGUUGCAUUUGCAAAUUUGCGAAUCUUUUCCAACAUUAUUGAGUCCCACUUACAAUUGCAUCAAAUUUUGUGCCACCAUCCUAACCAAGCUCCACUAUAAGCUUUUACUUGUGUAGGUGUGAGAAACCGACAAGAAUUGGUACCAAUUGUGCUAUUUCCUUGUUACACAUUGAGUGAUCAUUGAUCCAUCUUCAACAUCGGUCAAGGUACAUUUGGUAUAAGUUCUUCUCUUUCUCCCACUCACAUAUUUGUUUGCAAUGAUGGAUAGGCCAAGUACCUCUACCAACCCACUCUUCCUUGAACACGACGACGACAUGUCAUCCUACGUCACAAAGAGCCACCUCUUUGGUGCGCAACGAGCCUUGCAUGAAGAGCAACAAGCAUUGAGCGACCGCAUCGACAACCUCGCCACCGACUUGCGACUCUUCGAGCAACGUACAAGAGACUACUUCGACAACAAGCUCGACGAACAAAAGCAAGAGAACAAUGUAGGAAUGGACGAGAUUCGUGCCUUGCUGGUCAACCGCUCUUCUACCACUUCGUCCUACUCAAGAAGGAGCCGCUCAAGUCGACACUCCGACGACACUAUCUCUGGCUCAAGUACCCCGACAUCAAACACUCUUCGUCGUGCCGCGUGUCAAGAUCGUCAAGCUAACCGCAAUCCUCUACACGACACCGACUCUCAAGAGCAUCGACAUCGUCAAAACCAAGCUACAUUCGCGCAAGCACAAGAACGGCAACGCCAACGACAACAAGAACAAGAGGAGCAAGCGCGACAACACCAAGAUGCACAAGAUGCCGAGGCACAACGCCAAGAACAACAACUACGAGAAGCUCAAGCACUUGAGGCGCAACGUUCCCUUCGAGAUUCAAGUCGAGUCGUAGCCAACCCAGGACGACAAGCCCGUGAGCACCAAGAAGUGCUUCGCGAUGAAGUUCAAGAAAGGAUUUAUCACGCACGUGUGCAUCGUAAAGUUCCUCGUCAAGAUCGACAAGCGCCUCCUCAAGCUCGACAAGAACCUCAAGUUCGCCAAGAGAAUGAAGACAAUGGAAAUCCUCCAAGACAAGAGCAACAUGAGAACGACAACCCUCCUUGUCAAGAGCAACAUGAGUUUGUCAAUCCUCAACGACAUGGGCGUCAUCAUCCCCGACCCCAACACAAUGAAGAACAACGCUACGGCAAGCUAAAGUUCACCAUGCCCAAGUUCACCGGAAGCAAUGACCCCGAAGAGUACAUAUCAUGGGCAUUGAAGGUUGACAAAAUAUUCCGCUUGCACAACUACGAAGAAGAGAAGAAGAUCACGAUGGCAUCCCUUGAGUUCCAAGACUACGUCCUCAUUUGGUGGGAACAAGUCCUUGAGCGCCGUGGAGCACGAGGUGAACCACCCAUCACAACUUGGGCGCAAAUGAAGGAUGUCAUGAGAGCACGCUUCGUGCCGAACUACCACAACCGCGACCUCUACAAGAAACUCCAACUACUCAAGCAAGGAACCAAGAGCGUUGAAGAGUACUACAAGGAAAUGGAGAUUGCCAUGAUACGAGCCAAUGUCACGGAAGAUGAUGAGCAAACUAUGGCACGUUUCUUGAAUGGACUCAAUCAUCCUAUCAAGAAGAUCGCCGACUUCCAACCAUACUCAAACCUCAUCGAGCUAGUGCAUCAAGCUACCAAAGCGGAACGUCAAGUGCAAGAUGACUUCAAGUACGCCAAGUACUCAUCCAAGUCCUAUGGCUUCUCCAACAAUCAAGCUUCACCGACUCCAACAACUUCUACCUCAACCAAGCCAUCUACAAGCAACGGCGACAAGUCAAGUUACAAGAAAACUUCGACAACCUCAAGUCGUCCUCCUACUACAAGCAACUUCAAGCCGAAAGCUUCAUCAUCAUCUACCCCAACUGAUGAGACCAUCAAGACGAGUUCCUUCGAAUGCUUCACAUGCGGCGGCCGAGGCAAGUCCUUCGAGUGAACAAACAAGCGCACCAUGAUCCUCAACGACGAGGGAACCUAUGACUCCAUGAGUGAAGAGGAGAUGGAAGCCCUUGAGCAAGUGGCCAUGCACAUGCGCGUGAACGAAGAUGAAGAUGAUCAAGUCUUUUGUGACGAAGAUUCGAGCCCCGCUCUCAUUGUCUCCAAGGUCUUGACUCUUCAACAUCAACAAGAAGAAGACCAAAGAUGCCAUAUCUUCCACACCAAAGCCGACAUCAAUGGAAGGUCCGUCAAGGUCAUCAUCGAUGGAGGGAGUUGCCAUAACUUAGCAAGUGAAGAACUAAGUUCCAAGAUCCAAUUGGAUAAGAUGAAGCACCCGCACCCUUACAAAGUUCAAUGGCUAAGCGACAACGGCACCAUCCAAGUCGAGCAUAGGGUACAAGUCUCUUUCAAGAUCGAAGCUUACGAAGACACUUUGGAGUGUGAUGUCCUUCUGAUGACCGUUUGCCACCUCCUUCUUGGACGACCAUGGCAAUUUGACCGAGGUGUCAUCCACAACGGGCGUACAAACCACUAUAGCUUCAAGAUGAAAGGGAAGGAGUAUGUGCUACGAACUAUGUCUCCAAGCCAAGUGAUCGCCGACAAGCAAGCCACCCAUCGUGGAGAGAAUAGUGAGCGAGCGAACCACCAAAAAGAGAGUGAGCGCCACAAGCCAAAAUUGAGUGCCUCCACGAUGAGCGACAAGAAAACCUUAGUUCUAUUUGCCACCAAACGUGAGAUGAGAGAAGUGUGUGAGAACCCAUCAAGUGGCAUGCACUAUGUCCUUUUGUGCAAAGAUGAGGCACCAAAAGCUAACACCUCUCACAAUCUUCCUCUAGUGUUAUUUUCUCUUUUGCAGGAAUUCCAAGAUGUUUUCCUCGACGAGCUACCUCCGGGUUUACCUCCAAUACGAGGCAUCGAGCACCGCAUCGACCUCAUCCCCGGAGCACCACUUCCAAACAAAGCUCCCUACCGCAUCAACCCCGAAGAAACCAAAGAAAUACAAAGGCAAGUAAAGCAUCUCAUAGAUCAUGGACAUGUGCGUGAAAGUUUGAGUCCUUGAGCCGUCCCGGUCAUUAUUGUGCCAAAAAGAGACGGUAGCUUUCGCAUGUGCUCUGAUUGUAGACCUAUCAAUGCUAUCACCGUUCGCUAUAGGUACCCCAUUCCACGCCUUGAUGAUAUGCUAGAUGAACUUAGCGGUGCCACUAUUUUCUCAAAAAUUGAUCUCAAAAGUGGUUACUAUCAAAUACGCAUACAAGAGGGUGAUGAAUGGAAAACCGCUUUCAAAACAAAGUUUGGUUUGUAUGAGUGGUUAGUCAUGCCUAUGGGUUUAUCAGAAGCACCCGGUACUUUCACGCGUCUUAUGCAUUAUGUGUUUCUCCCUUAUAUUGGAGAAUUUGUUGUUGUCUACUUCGACGAUAUCCUUGUUUUUAGCAAAUCUCUCAAAGAGCAUGUCACCCACCUUCGCACCGUGCUACAAACUCUUCGAAAAAAGUGUCUCUAUGCUAAUAUGGAAAAAUGCCUCUUUGGUGUUGAUAAGCUUGUUUUCUUGGGUUUUGUAGUAUCUUCUAAGGGUGUUAAUGUUGAUGGAUCUAAGAUCAACGCUAUUAAAACUUGGCCCCAACCAACCAAUUUGCAACAAGUGCGUAGUUUCCUUGGUUUAGCCGGUUUCUACCGUUGAUUUGUGAAGGAUUUUAGCACUAUUGCAUCUCCUUUACAUGCUUUGAGCAAGAAGAAUAAUGCACCCUUUAUUUGGGGACCAUCUCAAGAUAGCGCAUUCAAUGAGCUUAAGAAUUUGCUUACUCAUGCUCCCGUGCUUGCAUUACCCAAUUUUGACAAACCCUUUGAAAUUCAUUGUGAUGCUAGUGGUAACGGCAUAGGAGAUGUGUUAAUGCAAGAGAAGCGCCCCAUAGCAUACUUUAGUGAGAAACUCUCCGAAGCGCAACUCAAUUACCCCAUCUAUGACAAAGAGCUUUAUGCUUUAGUGCGAGUUUUGCGUGAAUGGGAACAUUAGCUUCGCCCUCAUGAAUUUGUCAUCCAUACCGACCAUGAAACGCUUAAGUAUCUUAAGGGUCAAACUAAGUUGAACAAGCGUCAUUCUAAAUGGAGUGAGUUUAUUGAGUCUUUUCCUUAUAUCAUCAAGUAUAUUAAAGGUAAAGAAAAUAUUGUGGCGGAUGCACUUUCCCGUAUAUGCAUGCUUGUUACACAACUUGAAUUGAAUGUCAUUGGUUUUGAGCACAUAAAAGACUUGUAUGAGCAUGAUACAACUUUUGCUAUUCCUUAUGCCAAGUGUUUGACGCAUACUUCUUGGUAUCGAUAUUACCUCAAGGAAGGUUAUCUUAUGAGAGCUAACAAACUUUGCAUCCCCGAGUCUUCUCUUCGUUUGUUACUUUUGCAAGAAUCUCAUGGGGGAGGACUAAUGGGACACUUUGGACGCGAAAGACAUUUGCUAUGCUCUCCAAGAACUACUUUUGGCCCAAGAUGUUUCGUGACGUCAACCGCUUCCCCAACCGAUGCUCUACAUGUCGCAAAGCUAAGUCUAAAGCUCAAUCUCAUGGACUAUAUAUGCCUCUUCCAAUUCCGUACCAACCAUGGGAAGAUAUUAGCAUGGAUUUUGUCCUUGGUUUGCCUAGAACUAGAAAUGGCAAGGAUUCCGUUUUUGUUGUUGUGGACCUAAAAUGGCACACUUCAUACCAUGCAACAAGAUAGACAAUGCUUCACAUGUUGCAAAUCUUUUUUGUAGGGAAAUCUUGCGCCUGCAUGGAGUGCCAAAGACGAUUGUCUCGGACCAUGACGUCAAUUUCUUGAGUUACUUUUGGAAGACCUUAUGCGCCAAGCUCAAAAUCAAGCUCUUGUUCUCUUGGGCAUACCAUCCUCAAACCGACGGCCAAACGGAGGUGACGAACCGUACACUCUCCACUCUACUACGCGUGUUGAUAAAGAAGAACAUCAAGGAGUGGGAGGAGUGCCUACCAAUCGCCGAGUACGCCUACAACCGUGCAAGACAUUCGACUACCGGCAAGUCCCCCUUCGAGGUCGUCUAUGGCUUCAACCCGUUGUCACCAUUGGACAUUCUUCCUCUACCGCUACAAGAGCGCACAAACAUGGACGCGAGUGCCCGAGUCAACUACCUCAAGAAGAUGCAUGAAGAUACAAGGCACACCAUCGAGCGCCAAGUACAACGACUCGCGACCAAGCUCAACGUCAACAAGCAACCCAUGAUAUUCAACAUUGGAGAUCUUGUGUGGCUACACCUUCGCAAGGACCGCUUCCCCAACGAACGCAAGUCCAAACUCCUACCACGAGUCGACGGACCCUUCAAGGUGCUUGCACGCUACAACAACGCAUACAAGAUCGACAUCCCACGCGACAUGUACUCCGUGAGCGACAUCUUCAACGUCAAAGAUCUCUCCCCGUACCAUGGUGAUGAGGAUUUAGAUUCGAGGUCGGAUCUUUCCCAAGGGAGGGGAGAUGAUGCGGAGCAUCCUAUGGUCAUCCCCAUGGACCUACCAUCGUCUCAUCAAGAGCCAAGAGGACCCAUGACACGGGCACGAGCUAGAGCUCUCGAGAACGAGGUGACUUCCUUCCUUAGUGAUAUCACAUAUGAUCCACUCAAGACAUGGCUACUACCUAAGUCCGAGAUGCUAUGCAUGAUUAGGUGUCAAGAGGACCCUCCCGGAGAUGCUCAUGAAGACGGACACGCCGGCAAGUUCAUGGACAAGGAGGACCAACAGAAAGUGUCAAGUGCAACUCCCAGGACCCGGACAUCCGGCCCCUGGAAACGUCACCAGUGCCAAGGAGCCAGCGGCCAAGUCUACAGGCCCCAGACAUCCGGCCCGAAAGCCCGGACAUCCGACCCCCGCCCGGAAAUCCGGCACCCGUCACAGAACGUACCCGAAGUUGAACCACUUCAGCCCGGACAUCUGGCCCGUCCCGAGCUCCCGAACAUCCGGCCCCUCGCCCGGACAUCGGGACCCCGUCUAUCCAGAGAGCAUCCAGGCCAGCCACGCCCGCCCGGACAUCCAGCCCCUCGCGAAGGCCCGGACAUCCGGCCCGCCGCCCGGACAUCCGGCAUCCCCUGUCUGCGCACAGUGUAAGGGCCGAGGCCCGUGUACCCCUUCGCCCACCUAGACUAUAUAUACUCCACCAUCUACCUCUUUCUAGGGUUAGCAUUGGUUUGGCUCAUAUAUGAGAUAGAGCUUUGCUCAUCCAUUACGGAUCUACUCCACGAGAGAGACCGCGGCCCCUCUACAGAGAAGAUCCCCUUGGAUUCAAGACCCCCUCUUGGGUGGCCCCAUCAAGACCUCCUCACAGAGAAGAACCGGUUACCUCUUGUAUCGUCCCUUGUUGACUUUGGAUCGUGUAUCUCCCCUUUGUAUUCCGAGGAUCUAGCAUAUGUGUGACUAUGUCUUGUUGGUUUGAGAGUUCGUCUUGUGUUUUCCCUUGUGUUUCCCCGUGUGUUCUUCGUGUUCUUAGUUGGGAUCCGCUCCUUUCGUGAAAGAUCGACCGUAUAGGGUUCCACCCUACAUCACAAAUGCUCUGAGCCAUCGUAACCGGCAGUGCGACCAACAAGACCCAAGUAAGCCCGCCAAACACGCUAGCCGGCCAUGUGCAGCUGCGGCAGGAUACUGGGCAGGCAAUGCCCUUCCAUAGGCAACCCCUAGGGCUGACACCCACAUGUAUCUUCCCUCACAGGGUGCUUGGUAUAUUCUCCCACGAGGGCUUGGCUUCCGAGGUACUUAGUCUCGAAGGAGCUUGGCAAUCAAGGUCCUACUUGCCUUUCACUCAACGGGUGCUAGGUGCACUACCUGGACCUACUUGGUCCAUGUCUCAAUAGUUUAAGAUUGGAAUUUGCUCCUACGGUGACAAAGAGAUAAAGUUUGGGACCACUUGGUAUGGAAAUGCACCACGUCAAAUGGAAUAGCCACGAGCGUGAGGACAAGAAGACCGCACGGUAAAACACAAUCCAGGUCCAACGAUGAAACGACCGGAAGGAGACGACCAAGACCAGCGACAUGCCAGUCCAUCAUGCACCGAUCAACGAACAGGAAGACAAUGGUUGAAAGCCCCGAAAAGGCAUGUACUCUCACUCAUGCCGAUGUCAUCAUGCGACAACCCAAGACCCACCUGGCACGACGCGAGGAAGGGCCCACCAAAAUCAGCUACAUCCCACGGCGACGGAAAGUUGAGCAGACAUCCAAAAACACACUUCAGCGACAGUGAGAGGCUGAAUAGGAAAACCCCUCUUGAUCUGAACAAGACCAACCGGUGGAACCACCCCACAAGGCAACCCGACACCUAGUUCACACAACACAAGAGGGAAAUGAAAUUGGACAGGGUCCAUAGUGUCCAAAAUUCAUGUGGGCAUCCGAAAUCUUGAAUGAUCUACAAGAGUUUUGGCUCAGAUUUCGGCUAUGAGUUGGUUACUGUCUAUAGCAGCAAUGUCAUGACGAAUAAUAUCCGGCUUUCUCUUGAGGGAGUGUGUAGGUGGAAAAAAUAAUGUCGGUUGCUGCACUGGAAAGAGACGAAUCUUGGUCUGUAGUAUUCGACUUAAGCCACAACAAACCCCCCGAUUGCAUGUAUCAUUUUGUUUGACAUGGUCUCGUCACCGUAAAAAGGAGCACCAUCACGACCAUUCCCAGAAACCCUAGCCACUGCCAUCGUUGCCGUCAUCUCCAUCUCCAUAGCCAUUCUCCCCAUAGUUUGCCAUACUUGUAAUUGAUACAUCGCAUACGACGACAUUGUUUGUCAUUCAUUAAUAUAUCAAUGCCAUCUACAAUGUUUUCCAUCUUUGAAACGAUCGAGGUGUGUGAAUAUUCCCAACAAGCCAUGGGUUCGGGCAUAGCCUUGCACCCCUAUGUACCUAUGCAUAGGAUCGUUGGUGCUGACAUUGUUUAAUUGAAUGUUAUGUUAUACGUCUUGUCACAUCGGAUUUGUCUCUUGUGCCUUUCUCGUUCUAAGACUCGGUAGGUACCAGGAAUCCCUUAGAUCAAUCCAAUAGGAGGUAAAGUGUAGGGACACAUGGAAAGCUACGCCGAACGCCGGUGACAGUAAGGAUUCGUAUUGUACCAAAAUCAAAUCAUUGGGGACCAUGAGGUGUAUUCAUUAAACGCCCAAUGAAUUAGUCUGGAUAAAUCCUUAAUAAUCGAGGUAAACCCGCAAGAAUGUAAAGGCCUUGGUUGGAAAACAAACUCAGGAUGUAGGUUGUUGAUUGGUCUUGACCUUAUUUAGAUGCAUCCCCCACAACUACACGUUCAUAACACAUCAUAAACGGUGUCUACCAGAACCAUGUUGGAAAUCAAGACAAGAUCCUAAUUGCAAGUAUAAGGUUGUAAGUAAAGUCUUCAUGCCCUAGCCUAUUUCAUUCCAUAAGUCUCUCUUUAAAGUAAACUGUGAUAAUUUGGUCUGGGGAACAAAAACUUCUAACAACAACAAUAGCGUUUUUGAAUCCCUGUCUAAUAGAAGUACUUCCUACGGGUUGAUGCCAAGGGUCACCCUUGGGUAAAAAAAGGUAGGGACAAUCUACAUCCAACCAUUUGUUAGCACAAAAGCAGGGGGUUGCCAAUACUUUUUGCUUUAGUGAGUAUAUUUGUAAAACAAACUUGAUAAAAUAUUACACCUAUUAAUUGCCUUAGCAUUAAUCACCCCAACCCAAUAGGUCAUAAGGUGCACUUUCAAGAACUAAAGGUGCCAAAGGAAACUCGAAGGAAGAAGAAGGGAGGAGCAAGGAGGUGAAGGGAUGUGAGGACCAAGGCACGUGAGUGUCUUCUCUGUUUGGGUAAUUAGCAACCCACCAGGGCAACCGCGCCCAAGAAAAGGGUAGAACAAGAGCUUCCAUUUUUGGCAAUGGAGGCUUGUGCAUUUUGGUAGUUUCCAUAAAUAGAAGGCUAGUAGAUCGGUCCGUGCUACAAAUGUUUGUUUUGUAGCACUAUCGAUAAGAGAAUUCAAACUAUUAUAUGAUAGAGAAACAACAAUAUCACUAGAAUCAACAAUGAGAGCAAAUAAGAAAAUUUCAUGGAUGAUCAUUAAUUGUCAAGCUCCGUCACCAAAGCAUUUGUUCAAUUUCAACACCUGGUACAAGUACAUUCCCGCAGAGUGCAGUGUUGAUUACACUAGAUUAAAGACAUAGCAGUCUACUAUAGAGAGGAUAGAGUACAUGUUAUUAUGGGCCAUUGCAAGUAGGAAGCACAUCAUCCAUGCAAGGAGUGUAGAUGAAAGACUUAUGUAAGGCCAAAUAUUGAGGAUUAGAACAUCCAUCUGGGUAAAGUGAUCCCAAGUAGCGCAACUUAGAGGUACCAAGGUAGUAAGCAAACCCAUAUAAGCUACGGGUCACCAGAAAAGCAAUCUCCUUGUUUGGAUGGUACCCAAUAAAGCGUAUGCCAUUAUUAAAUAUAAUAUGUUGUUCCAUAUCUUCAUCUAAUUCUUCAGCCUCUUCUUCUUCCCCAGAAUCAUCAGCAUGACUUUCACCACUAGAGUCCCACUCAUUGUCUUCUCCAUCACCAAACUCGUUGUCUUCUCCAUCACCCAGCUCGUUGUCUUCUCCAUCACCCAACCCUUGCGCUCUAGUGUAGCAUCGUUUAAAAGAGGGAAUAAGCCCAAAAUGACACUUUAGCUCCCACUCAUGCACUAGACAUGGUUUGGAUUCCUCAAGUAGUACCCAUGCUUGAAGUUGGGAUCCAUAGAUGGUUGUGCAGUAUACUCCAUGUUUCGAUUUCCCAAGAUGCAUUUCAGGCUCACAAACAGUAAUAUUAGGCAUCACCGCUACUUCCGGGGAUCUGAUGACUACAGAAGUUUUCUUCUCCAAUGAAAACCUAUUCAUAUGUGUUUUCAAAAGCUUUUUAAUGAUUAUACAAAAAGAACAAUAUUAAUUUAGAUGAUUGUAGCUGAUAUUACCAUUAUAUAUGCACCUUAUGACCACAUGAUUGGCAGAUCAUCUGUAACCUAGAGGGAUUGCAAUCCUCCCGUAAACAGAUCAUAGUUUAUUUUUGCUAAAGAUGGUGAAGUUAACAGCCAGAACUAAAUUUUAUCUUCUGCUUAUACUAACCAACAUUUGGACUUAAAUUAAUUUCCGCAAAAGUGAGGUGUUUUGUGUUGGGGAUUCUUACUGGGCAUAUUUGGCCAUGCAAGUUGAGAUCUUUGACCAUGACCUACUUGGGUAUCUCUACAGAUUCAAAGAAAAUUUAAAUGCUUCAUGGAAACUUGUAGAAAUUUGACUCUAAGACGAGUGUUAGAAGGGCAAGCUCCUUUCCAUUAGAGGGAGAGUUUGCCUAGAGAAAUUGAAAGUCAAGUGGAUGUAUUUAGUAAAUGUUUGUUUUGGCAAGAGGAUUUGGUUAACUACCAAUUGCAUCUAGUGAAUGAGGGACUAUAGGUAAACCUAAAGAUAUGGGAGGAUUGGGAGUUUUGAAAUUGGAUUUGAUAAAUAUAAGCUUACUUGCAAAAUGGUUGUGAAAAUUAGAGUUGAUCAAGGUGUUUGGCGAGAUGUUCCCAAGGAAACCUAUCUUGAGAAUAUUACGCUAACCCAAUCUCCGCAAAAAAAAAACAGACCAAUCUCUGUUUUGCUCCAAGUUAAUGGAAAUUAAAGAUCUCCCAAAAUUCUUCUGAAAUGGAUAGUUCCUAAUGGAAAAUGAGUGGCUCUAGGAGGAUAUGUUUAACAGGAUAAACACUUAAACAUAACUUUCUCUAAGCUUUUCACUAUCACUUUCAUUCACAACAUCAUGCUAGAUACAAUGAUGACUAUAGGCUUAAAUGGCUUAAUUUUCAUAAGAAAUAUUUGGAGGCAUUGCAAAGAUCAGUGGGCACAAAUGGAAGAGCUAAUUAGUGAUGUAAGUAUUUUAGAUAUAGACAACUUUAUUUGGAUUCGUGUAUCCAAUGGUGUUUACUUUGUCAAAUCCUUCUAUUUAGAACUACAGUGCGAUAUUCCUCUGUCCCCAAAGAAAUAUUUAUGGAACUAAAGCUUCUGUUCAAAAGUUAAAAUCUCAUGUUGGCUAGUGCUUCACAUAACCAUUUGGAGUGGAGAUGUUUGGUUGCAUAGAGGGUGGACUAGGUAGUAGAAAUGAUUGUUUUGUGACGCUCAAGAGAUAAUUGAUCACCUUUUCAUUUCAUGUUCGAUUGCACAUUUUGUAAUGGGGGUUUGCAGUGUGCCAUGAACUUUCAUAUGUGAUGAAUGGAUUGAGAAAUUUCUUCUGUGGUAGAGUAAAAUGUUCCCUGCCAAUGUGGCGGAAGUCAUCUAAGGCUCGGAGUGUAGUUGUGAAUAAUGACAAUGAUUUAAUUUCUAGAUGAUCCUAUUGCUACUAUAUAACAUAUAUGUUGUUGUAUUCAUUUGUGGUCGAAUUUGCACAAGGAAAACGCGAGAUGUUCUCCCACAAGAAUCGAAAAAACUACAAGAGCUAGUUCAUAGGCUGGGCACCAACUGCCCAGACAUUGAAGUGAAGAAUGAUCUGAUUCAAGCUACUAUUACUCUUGCUGAAGUAAGGUGAUCCUGAUGGAGUCACGCUACUUCUCUGAGUCCUAGUGCGAUUUUUCGUUCACAUCAUGGCUUGGUUGAAGAUGAUAGAGUGCAUAAGAAAUCUUUUGUAAUUUCUGCUAAGCAUGUAGAGUAUAGGAGCGACUAUUAGUAAGUUGCCUGAAAAAGGUUCAGUUUUUAGUCAAUUGUUGCAUCGUGUCUUCAUCUUCCUCGCUUUCCACCUAACGGCUUGGUUCACCCUCGUGGACCUGCCCUCCGCUAGGUGACGAACCACCGUCCCCACCACCUGCAGACUUUGCUGCCUCACCAUGCCCUUCCCAAGCUACCACCGCCUCAUACAUCCCUCUAAACCCUCCCCCUGUUUCUCUAUCACCAACGCCCUCUGCCCCCCGCACCAUAGCCACACCAACCAUCGCUUCGCCUCCACCGGCGGCACCGCAACAAACCAUGGUGUCCCUAUCUUCGGCUCAUUCCAGACCAACCUUCACCAGGCUAGCCAGGCCAUCUGCAUCGCCGACUCGGUGCCUGCACAAAAUCUACCACUGACUGCAAAUUUCCAGGUGCCUGGAGAAUAUCAAACACGGUAUAUAACUCUUCGUGUGUGAGUUAUAACCUAAUGGUGUUUAGGUCCUUCUCUCCCCAAUUAUGAUAUGAUGAGAGAGGAUUUCGGUUUUCAAUUCUUCCUUACUAUAUAUGCAAAACUGUAUUGUAUAAAUCAACUGGUUGGUUUGUUAACUAAUUGCAGAGGAAAUGUACCUUAUGAUGAAACCAGUGGGGCAAUGAAGAUAGAAUGCCCCUCGCCAGUACACGGCAUGGCGCUUUCGUUCAUUGAUUCGAUCUGCCCACAUGGCCACCGUUGUUGCACCUCCUUCUCGGACAAAUGUCAUGUCAUCCCACUGGCCGCUUCUCGAGCAGUACACUUUCACCAUGUAGGAAGACGGCGGCCAUUCCAUCGACUGAUCAUGUUUGUUGGGCUCGGGGAAGAAGAAGACGCUGUAGUGCAGCGACUCGGUGGGGUCGAACAGGAGGUAAUAGGCGCCGGGGCGAUAUGAGGGCAAAGGGGGAAGCUCCGCCCACCGCCGCGUCGCGGGGUUGCACACGUACAACGCGUACUCGCCCUCGUACAGGAGGAGGCCGUUGCGGUGGUCGAGGACGAUCCCCCGCCCCGUUUCCACCUCCGGUGGGAUCAUGAAAUCGAGCGCCGUGGCGUUGAGGCCGAUGCCCGUAGGGCCGGCCCCGCAGGGGAAGAAGUAGGGCCGGUCCUCGUAGGAGAAGUUGAUGAUGAUGCCGCCGACGUGGUGCGGCACCCGGUGCUCCACCGCGAGCAUCAGCCCGUUGGAGUCCACGGCGGCGCGCCAGCCCUUGCGGACGGCCCGGCACGUAGCGAUGCCCCGCGGCGGGAGGCGGCGGAGGAUCUCGGCGAGCAGCUCCAUGGGGAGACGAUCCAUGGCGGACAUGGUGGGCAGCGCGAUUGCGGCGUCGUCCUCGUCUAGGGUUUGGGCGGCGGCGGCCGCCGCAGCCUCCUGCGCGUCACUCAUCUGUCGGGGUCAAGGAUUGGUCAGGGUUUGCUUCCGCUUUCUGUUUGCAGGCUUUAUUAAAACAAAGACGCAUCAGGCUUCAUUUCUGUUGCCGUCCACCUGUAAGCCCAGUAGGCCCGACCCACCACAUAGCUUUGCCCGGUUAUUUUUUUCUACUAAAAGGAGCUUCGUCUAAAAAUUAAAUUUACAGCACGUUUUCUAAAAUUAUCAGUGUACUACUUUUUAUUAUAUUUGUAUAAAAUGAAGAGUAAAUUUUAAAAUUCCUUAUGUUGCUCGUCAAGGAAAAAUAAUGCCGGCAAAAGGAUGUGUGCGAGAGGCCUCACAACAUUUCGAUAUAAGAUAUUGAAAGUCGUAUCCUACUCAUUUUAAGACCGACUUGGCCAAGGAUGCAUGCGUCAGCUUUCAUGGCAAAAGAAAAAAAUAAGGACCGAUAUUUCAUGUCAUGCGGUUGUAUUAUUUUGUUACCAACAUAAAUUGCAAGGAAAUACACAUUGAAAUGUAGAUGUAUGCACUAGCCAGCAGAGAAAAUACAUCACAUCUAUUUGCAGAUUUACACGUGGGGUGGAUAGAGUACAACCUUUUUAACUAUAAUGGAUUGACAUACAUUAUGAUGAGACCACUGCCACAAAUCCUUUUAUUUUAGGAUCCCCACUGCCACAAAUCCUGAUAAGUUGGGUCCAAAAACAGAUAUAGUAUGUUUUUGGUCCCUCAAGUUUCCCAAAAGUAUAGACUUAGUCCCUGAAGAUUUUUGGUAGACAUUUGGUCCUUCAAGUCUCACAACUUGAUACGUUUAGUCCAAAACUAGAUAUACAAUAUGUUUUUAACUAUACAGUUUUUUGGUCCCUCAAGUUCUCCAAAAGUAUAGACUUGGUCCCUCAAGAUUUUUUGGGUAAACAUUUUCGGUCCUUCAAGUCACAAACCAUGAUAAGUUUGGUACAUUGACCGAUUUUGACCACGUUGGCCAGGUUUGACCGACAGACAUUAAAAUCGAAAAGUAGGAAAAAAAAAAACUGAAAUUUUGUGACAACCAAGAUACUUGUGUGCACUAGGUGCAUGUAAUAUUUGUGGCAAAAUAACAUCCGAGAAGCUCUAGCAAAAAAAACCAAAAUUUGCCUUUUAUUUGUCAGCCAAACUUUUAUUCCCACGAGCUUCUCGAAUGUGGAAACACCACAAACAAUUUCAUGCACCUAGCGCACAGUAGCAUCUUGGUUACCAUAAAAUUCCAGGCUUUUUCCAAUUUUUUGCUAUUUUUUAUGAAUUUAUUGUUCAUUGGUCAAACCCGGUCAACAUGGCCAAAAUCUAGUUUUGGACGAAACUUAUGCGUUUCUGAGACUUGAAGGACCAAAUGUCUACCAAAAAUCCUUGAGGGAUCAAGGCUAUACUUUUGUGGAACUUGAGGGACCAACCACAUAUUUUUCUCUAUAUCUUUUGACCCUGUAGAGGAGGAGGCCGUUCCGGUGAGGAUGGUCUCCCAUGGGUAGCCAUGGCACAUGCGGCCGUUGCAGUGUUCUUGAAAAUCUGUCGGUAAACAAGAAAAUUAGAUAUCCUAGAAAACCUAGAGAAUUACACAUUAGGCCUGUCAUUGCAGAGACCUCCCCCUGAGCGCUUUGUGCGCCAUAUAGAGGAUCUGGCGCUCAUGCGCCCUGUCCGCGGGCCAGCCCAACAAUGAGGCCAGCCAGCCAGCUCACUCGGUUUCCCAGUUGAAUGGUUGUGAUUAACCGACCAAAAAUGUAAAUUAAAAAUAUCACAAAAAACAAAAAGGUUCAUGAAUUCCACAAAGUUAAAAAAUUCAAAAAGAUCACAAAAUUCGGAAAGGUUCACAAAUUUGGGAAAAAGUUCAUAUAUUUCUAAAAAAAGUUCACAAACUUUACAAGUGUUCAUAGAAUUAAAAAAAUUGAAAAUUUGAAAAACCGUCAUCAAUUUUGAGAAAAUUCAUCAAUUUUGAAAAAACAUCAAAUUUGAAAAACAUCAUGCUUUUUGAAAAAACUAAGAAAAUUAAAAAUAACAGUAAAGAAAAAUAAAGAAGAAAAGAGAGAAGAAAAAGGAAAAUAAAAAGGAAAGAAAUAGAAAAGAGAAAACCAAACAAAACCACUUCAGAAAAUAAUCAAAAUCAUGAAAAAAAACCGGUUGGGAAGCUUCAAAACCGGGAAGAACUCUCUCCCAUUACACCCUUAGAUGGAGCACCUGCGCUAGUUAACGAAAUGCAUGUUUUUUUGAACACUAACGAAAUGCAUGUUAACUGACGCAUAAGGCGCCAGAUAGUAUUCGGUGUCAUUACAGUGGUUUCUUACGUAGUUCGGGAUAAAGUGACGCAAUACCAAUUCAGUUGCACGGUCCAGCCCAUCUGAUCCUCAAAGUGGCCCACCGGAGGCUCGUCAGUGAGGUGUAUAGCUGAUGCGGAAUUUCUAAAAAAAAAAGAUGAUGCGACACCACGCCAACUCCUUGGUGGCCAUUGAACUCUACCCUGGAAAGCAGAAAAGAAAAAUGCACGGAGUCUGAGAUCUAGUUGUAAAGUAUGGAUUAUUCAUCGGUGUUUGAAGAACCAAAUCCUCAACCAUGUAAAAAUAGACACAACUGUUCCAAGGCGGAGCAGGAGCUUCACAUUUUCCCCAGAUAUGCAAACCCAGGUGGCGAGCGCACUCUAUGGAAAUAUGUGUGGCGUGCAAAAGUUCCUCUUAAAGAUGCAUAUUACUGCAUGGAAAACAGCGACAUGAGCAUUUGCGACGGACAAGAACAGAGUAUGUGGGGCACCUUUCAACAAUUGGUCGUUGUAGACAUGCGAUCGUGACGUAGAGAGUUGACCAGAAAACCGCUACAGCCGAGCAAUACACACCAGCCACGAGGCUGCAUACCGAUCAAGCCGACGACUCCACCUGCCAAGUGACUGAAAUCGACACCCCACAACAUGACCCGAAGCCGCCACCCCAGCAUACAAAGAACACAUACACAUCGGUCCUGAGCCCAGUCACCAGCCGAGCCGAGCCGAGCCGAUGACUCUGCCACCCAAGUGACUAGAGCUGACACCCUCCAUUAUUUUUUUGAGUCAAACAACUCCGUUUGAGGCGACGACUCUGAGCCGACGCUGGGCCUCAACCAAAGGCCUAGCCGAAACCACCCUGUUCUGGGCCUCAUGAUAUUUUUCGCUCAGUUCGUGCAGCAACGCAGCCCAAGACCAUUUGGCACACCGCCCACGCUGCCAGCCUGGGCCCGCAUGGCCGGCUGCCUAUAAGACUAACGGCCAGUGAGAGGGAGGCCCCACCAGCCAGGAAGCAGCAGAGAGAGAAUUCAAAUUCCAAUUCCUCGGUGUCUCCCCAUUCCCCAACACCACCACCACCGCCACCCAAUCCGUCGCUCUCCUCCACCACCUCCUCCCCGCCGGCGAUCGCCGCCGAGGCCCUCCUCGGCGGGGCGCCGCUCCGGGACCGCGCGAUGAAGCUGAAGAUCAACAAGGCGUGCGACAUCGCCUCCAUCUCCGUCCUCCCUCCCCGGUACGGCCCCCCCGCCCAGGCCGAUCCCCUCCCCUCUCGCCGCCGGCUGCUCCCGUUCGUUCCGAGGCGUGCUUGGUUUAAUUCGUGCUCGUGGUGCGUUUUGUUGGUGGUUCAGGAGGACCGGAGGGAGCAGCGGUGGCGGUGGCGGGAUGAGCGCGCCUGCUGCUGCUUCCGCGGCGGCGGCGGCGCAGCAGCAGCGGUCCCAAUCGAUGUCGCAGAAGUCCUUCUCGCAGGGCAUAGGCAACGGUGGCGCGUCCUUCUCCCAGGCCAGAGGCGCGUCCUUCUCGCAGGGCAGCGACAGCGGAGGCGCCGCGUUCUCUCAGGUCGGUGGAGGCGGAGGCGCCGCGUUCUCUCAGGGCGGCGGAAGCGGAGGAGCCGCGUUCUCUCAGGGCGGAGGUGGUGGAGGCGCAGCCUUCUCUCAGGGCGGAGGUGGCGGAGGCGCGGCCUUCUCUCAGGGCGGUGGAGGCGGAGGCGCGGCCUUCUCUCAGGGCGGCGGAAGCGGAGGCGCGACCUUCUCUCAGGGCGGUGGAAGCGGAGGCGCGUCCUUCUCUCAGGGCGGUGGCAGCGCGCCGCUCGUGCACGCGCAGUCGCAGCUCUCGCAGGCCUCCCUCGACGCGAACCUCCUCAGCCUCCUCUCGCAGGCUCCCGCGCGCGACCAGGUCUCGUACACAUCAUCCCCCCUUCUUCUCCAAUUGUUGCCGCUGUGUGGUGAUCCAUGAUCGAGGCCGCGUUUGCUUCUACCAGUUCAGUUGGAUCACAUGAUCAGUGUGUUCGGUGAAUUUGAUCAGUCGGUAACUAGUAUGUCAGGUAACUAGCGAGUUUGCAUCGAAUUGAUUGGUGUUGGUUACUGUCAAUUAGUCGUUUCCACUGAAUCCGCUUGUGCUUGGUUAAUCUCUGAAGUGACCAUUUCAUCGAUCUUGUGUUUAGUCACAGUAGCGUUGCAACGAAUUUAUUAGUGUUGACUGUUGGUUACUGUUAAUUAGUCGCUUCCAGUGAAUCCGCUGGUGCUUGGUUGAUGCGUGGAACAAAUAGUUCAAGUCUCUGCAGUGACCAUUUCAUUGGGCAAACUAGUGAACUAAGUGUUAUUGCUUGAUAUCUCAAUUUGGUGCACGCGAGCAUUCAUGUACUGCAUUACUGAAAGUGUAAGGGGAACGACAUCCAUGUGAUCCUGUUCUGCUAGACUCUUUGAAAUGGUGAUUUUGAUCUGUAUGAUUUGUCGGAAUUGACGCCGUUCUGUGCACAGUUAGAAUGCAGUUACGAUUUAUUCAUAUUCGGCAAUGCAGAGGGAAUGCCCAAACCAACAGUUCUUGUCCUAAUAAAUGUUUGAGUCAGAACAGCUAUGUUUUUUGUUAUAUUUGCUAGUUACAGAAGGUGGAUUCCUUAAAAAAAAGUUAUAUAAUGUGCACACUUUUUAUCUGCUGCCCAAUUGUGAUCUUCAUUCUCUUUCCUUUGGUGACCAGAGAUUUGCCUUGCAACAGGACUCAUCCAAGAGAACGUCUUCAUAUCCUGCCAGUUCAGCUUCUUGUGUGCGCGAGGAAUCUCAGCUGCAACUGACAAAAAUACCAACCAACCCUAUCCACCGCUGGUGCCCCUCUCUUCUGGAUAGCAGAUGUAAACUCAAGCCCUUGCACUUGACAGAAUUUACAUUUUAUUCAUUUUUCUUUUGCAGAAAAUUACAUUUCAUUCAUCGCCAUAACAACAGUUCACAUGCUCUUCAAGCACACUAAUUUUGGUGUUCUGAAUAGGUUUACAAAAAUUCUCUCAUUAACUGGGCAUGUAAGGUCAUAUAGUGCAUGCUUUAAACAGAUAGUGACCUGAAGCUGUUCUAAACGUACAAUCUAGAUUUUAUUUUAAGAUGUCACAUUGUCAUGAUAUACUUGGAAGUAUGUUUCGACUAAAGUGCCCAGUUGAUGUUGUUUCGACAGGUCAGGUUAAUGAGGAAGUUGAGCGCAAGUUUCAGCAUCUGGCAAGUUCAGUACAUAAGAUGGGAAUGAUAUUAGACUCAGUGCAAAAUGAUGUGAUGCAGUUAAACAGAGCCAUGAAGGAGGCAUCACUAGACUGUAAGUCACCCCCUAAUGGUACUUUCGAUCAAUAUAUGGGCGAUCGUAAUUGCUGCUAUUUCUUCAUGAGUUUUGCACUCUAAUUCUGUUGCUUCCCACAAAUAGUACAUUAUCGACUAAUGAGAGCAUGUAUUCGCUUUGUUCAGCUGGUAGCAUUCAGAAAAAGUUUGUGCUCCUGGAGGACUCUCUAAAGCAAAUUGUAAGGAUAGUUGCUGGUUUAGUCCCUUUGUCCUUCUUCUUUUUGCUGAGGCAACAAAGUUUAAUUAACCCAAACAUGCUACCACAGCUUAAGGGACAAGAUGACCUCAGAGCACUCCUUGAAGGAAUCACAGAAAGUAAUCCUGACCAAGUGAGUGUUCUCAACUCUCUCAGCAGCAAACAGGAUGAGAUGUCCUUGUUACUUUCAGUCUUGCCAAACCAUGUGCAAAGAGAACUGGGGCAACUGAAGGGUGACAUCAGCAGAAUUUUCUCAAAGGAGAUGGAGGUACUACUGCUAAGAUCAACCACUAGCUUCAGGUUCACUUGUGUUUGGGAAUUAUUCUGAUGUGCAUAUAAGUAAUUAUCUUAUCUGGCUGAUUUACCACCGUGAAAAAAUCUCUCUUAUGUCCAUAUGUGUGAGUUUAGGUUCUAUGAAGGCAUAUAUAAGCUGGUUCAUAGCAUUUUCUUCUAUAUUUUUUUUUCAGGAAGCGUAAUUCCGUUUCUAUUCAUGAUAUCUAACACUAAAAAUUCUCAGUCUACACUAGGGCUUAUUUUUCAGCAUUUUACUGAAGUUAAAAGGAUUGCUUUUGAAGAACAUGCACAAUCUUGUAUAUCAUGUGGCAUGCUAAGACCCAUCACUUCACAUACUAGAGUAAAGCAACAAAUGUGUGUUUUGCUGACCUUUGCCUAUUUGGACAGGUGAUGGUUAGAGCUGUCAGAUCUGUUGAUACUAGGCUUGACCAGAUGCAAAUGCUGGCAGUAUGUGUACUUAUCACUCAACUAAUUGAAUUAGCAAGCCUUUCAGUACUUUUCUCCUCUUAUUCUAUUUCCCUUUCUUUGCUGAAGAACCAGAGCUGCACCACCAAUGCGAAACCCCUGAUGAACCAGACAAGAGUAGCCAAUGGAAGCUCCCUGAUGAUGCAGACACCAGUAGCAUAUGGAAGCCCCCUGAUGAACCAGACACCAGUAGCAGAUGGAGGUCCCCUGAUGAACCAAGGACCAGUAGCAGAUGGAAGUCCCCUGAUGAACCAAGGACCAGUAGCAGAGGGAAGGCCACGGAAGAAACAAAGGCCAGCAGCAAAUGGAAGGCCCCAGAGGAAGAAGCUAACACCAGUAGCAAAUGGAAGGCCUCAGAGGAAGAAACAAAGACCAGUAGCAAACGGAAGGCCCCAGAGGAACCAAAGACCAGUACCAAAUGGAAGGCCCCAGGUACAAACAGCAGAUGGAAGCUCGCACAUGAACCAGAAACCCGAAGCAAAUGGAAAUGGCCUGAUGAACCAAGUACUACCAGUAACACAAGCGUAAUCUUCUAACCUCAGCUUCUUGCAGAUCCAAGUUGUUAGAUAACCAGUAGUAUGCAUUGCUGUGGGAUGGGGCAUCAGUGUGAAAAUUGUCUUGAUGAAAAAUCGAAACGCAAACUGAACCUAUAAGUACCGACAUCGUCAAGAGGAAAACUGCAAGAUAUUCUUAUGUGCAGGAGGAUCUUGUGAUAAGAUGCUUCUCACUUUCUUUUGUUACAGAGCUACUAGUUUAAUUCUGGCCUUUGAAAUGUUGAAAUGUCCUCUUGAGGUUGGUAAUUAAAACGCCUGUACAGUAGAUCGUUAUCUCUGUUUUGACAGCAAGAUCAUAUUGUUGUGUUUCAGUUAUAUUGCCUCCACUUUUCAGAAUAUGCAUCUGCCUUUGCUUUAAUUUUCCCUGUUCCUGUUUGAUUUGAGAUUCUACUACGUACUAAUUAGGCUUGUUUGUCUGUCAGUGCCAGUGCUCCUGCACCCUUGGCUUAUCAGAGGAAGACAGAAGGUGUGAAGCCAAAUGUGGAGAAGGGGAUGGUAAAGGCUGCCACAGAAGCACGGAAAUUGGAUGGCUCAGGCGACAGCAGGCCGGCGCCACCUAAAGAGCAAGAGUUGGCGAUUCAGAAGGACAAUGCAGAUGCACAUGCGCCCAUCAACAAGGUAACUCGCGCCGCAACCUUGCUCGUUUCUAGCUCGAGUGAACAACCGUAAAAUGUUAGCAGAGAUGAGAUCACCUAACGCAAUGUCACUAGCUGUAGCCAAUGGCUCGAGACCAACACCGCUGAAUUUUUAUUAUUUGGCCUGAAAGAAGAGCACCACUGAUGAACUGAAUCAUUUGUCCUGAAAGAAGAACAUGAAUGAUUAACUGGCUGAACAUACUUGAGCAUACUUGGUGCCGCUGCUUCAUGAAUGCUCUGUAGUUUAGUUUGCCCCUGUUGAUCAAGCAAGUGCGGAAACAUCAUGUGAAACUGUGAAGUUGUUGUUGUUGCGGUUAUUGGCUGUGCGAUGAUGAUGAUGAUGAUGAUGAUCAUGGUUGUUGCGGAUGGGGGAAAACGCAGGCGAUCGUGACGAUUGUCAUCGACUCGGACGAGGAGGCGGAGGAGGGGAGCGCGUCCUGCGUCAUGCUGAAGACGGGAGCAGGUAGAGCUGGGCGCUGGACUGAACCUCCUUUCUCCUUCCACACCACUGUAUUAUAUGAUGAACCAAUGCGAAUGUGAGAGUGACUGUAUGUCUUGUGCAGGAGGUGCGGGAGAGGGGGAGGCGCUGGAGAUCCUGCGGCGGGCGAGGAAGCGCCGGCGGAGGGAGGAGGCCAACGCCGUCGCGCUGGACCACUGCUAGGCUAGACUGUUUAUUUAGUAGCAGCAACCCAACACGGUAGGUAGGGCGUGGCGUACAGAUGCAGAGGCGGGUCGACAGACAGUGGUUUAAGAAGAGACGAGGAAUCCAGGCGCGAUGCCGACGGGCAUGGACAUGGACAUGGACAUGAUCGCCUGAACAUAGACCGACCGCAGUGCAGCCGGUUGGUCCUCCGCUUGCAUUGGCCUAGCCAGCCUAGAGAGAGAGAGAGAGGUGGGCCGUUUUGAAAGGAGGUCGGUGCCUUUUACGCUGGCGGGCACGCGGGCAGUUUCGUCUGGAUUCCCUCCUCCAGUCCAGGGACGGACUGACUGACUCGCCGGAGAACAAUGCGUUAUGACUGCUUAAUGUGCGUGCCAGCGACGACAAGUUAGCCGCGGUCACAUACAUUUUCCGGGCAGGUUACCCAGGUAAGGAUAUGAUACUCCCUCCGUCUUGCGAGCGUUUUUUUUUUCACUAGUUUUAUAUUAUGAGACGGAGGGAGUAGUCGCACCUAUUCUUAAUCCGAAGUAGAAUGUGCCAUCUUGGCACUGAGAGGUGGGGGACCUCGGAUCUUCAAGAGUUCUAUAUUCACCCCAACAUUUAGUGGCCGUCAUAGGGGUUUUCCAAUAAAGUCACUCUAAUUCUUCCUCUGAUGGUGCCAUGGAGCUAGAGAAACCCGUGUCCUCGCAUAUCUGAUUACUCAAAUCUGAUGAGCCCAUGUUAUUGUGCCAUACUGUUUUUGUCGCUUUGAUGCUUUGUGGAGUCUAAAUCCUUUCUCGACACUACGGUGAAAAUGUUGUGGCUUGACGGCCUACGCUUCUAGGGGAUCAUCCCCAAUCCAGAUACGUUCACUGCACAAGGCUUUUCGUGUUUUCAGACGGGCAAUUCAAGGGGCUUUUAUAGAUAUCAUUGUAAUUCGUAGCCAUACGAGUUACUUUUUGCUAAUUUUCUUGAAUGUCGAAUCCAAAGUGAUUACCUUUAAUGGCUAUGAACAUGGACAGAAUACCAUGUGGUCCUCAAAAAACAAACAAAAACUCCUUAUGCGUGCCAAGGAAGGUUACCUGUGUUAAACAUACAACAUGUCACGUUACGUGACCGGCACAUCUCAUAGGAGAUAGUUGAGGUAGUUAGGUUGUUAGUUUUAUGUUUAUCUCAUGUAACCUCUUAUCUCUAUCUUCUUUCUUGAUCUCCAAGGUCGUAAUCCAAACCGCAUGUAUGCGCUGUUAUGGAAGGUGCGCCCCAUCUAUUUAACACGAAGCCGUCGGCCUGAGCAAGGCAAGACGUUCCGCUAGUUCGCACAUGGUAAUCAGAGCCCCAUCUCUUCCCAUCUACUGAGAUCCCAUCUACUAGAGCCUAGCCAUGUCUUCCUCCUCCUCCUCCGGCGCCUCCCAACCUACCCUCAAUGGACAGGUCACCGAGAAGCU
rnacentral:lncRNA from 1 species